rnacentral:lncRNA from 1 species
GUUUCUUCACGAUCGUGUACUCUCAGCCCCCUUUGAAACCCUCUACCGCUCCUCUUUCCUUUCUUAGAUCAGGUCUUUUCUGCCGCUUCUUGGGUGGAGUCGCUCGACAACCGGAGCCCUAAUCUUGGUGAAAGGACUGCAGAAUCCUUCAUGGUCAUAUGAUAUUUUCGUUUCUGUCUUAUGAGUAGAGGAUUGCUGAUUAAGAUUCCUCUGUUACUAAAUUUUUCGUAUAGUUUGUUGUUUGCUCGUAUAGUUGUAAUAGUCUCGGAGAUGUUAGCAACUUUGUCUCUUUACUAGACUUCGAUCAUGAUAAAGCUGUUGUUAGGAAGGUGCCCAAAAUAUCUGUAAGCUUUGAUAUCCCCUCUUCCAAAUGUCUCCAAUCAUGAUGUGUGAAUGAAACCUAAAUGCUUAAUACAAGUCCAAAUGAGUAACGAGCACCACACAAAUGCAUGAUUCAAAUUCAUAUAUACAUUUCUUUUUUUUUUUGCAAAGGGGAUAAGUGGCGAAGGGGAUUUGAGCCCCGAACCUUCCGAUAAAUGGUUAGAGUCUUUACCCGCUAGGUUAGCUAACACCUUCCUGCAACAGUAGAAAUAUAUCGGAUGAGAUUUGAAACCUUUAACCUUUGGUAAAUGGGUUUGGUACACUGCCACCAGGCCAAUGUUUAAGGUAUUCAAAUUCAUAACUUGCUUUGAUAUUACGAUAAGUGUAUUUUCUAAGUACCAAAUGCUUAAGUUGUUAGGCAAGUGCUCAAUAUAUUUAGAAGUUUUAAUGGAUUAAAUAUUGGUAAUUAAGAUUCCAAUGGUACUGAGUUAUUAUAUGUGUAGUUUCUUCAUUUGCUCAUAUAGUUUUGAGACAGAUCAGAAGGCUUACCUGUACAAUUGAAAGGAAAGAGAGACCAAAAAAAGGAGAAAAUGGAAGGGGGAAAGAAAGGUGAUCAUUUUUUCCGGAUCAGUUGGUCAGUAGGAUCAAAGAUGAAAGUAUUGCUUGCAAGGCUGUGGCAUGGGCUUUCUUGUCUGUGACUUGCUGACUUGUAGGUAACAUGUCAUGACAUGUCUGAGAAUAGAAUCUCACUGUGGCAUGCCUUUAUUGAACGCUUGUUGAGCUACACACCUAUUGUUUGGGUUCUGUCUCCAUUUUGGCCUUUGGUAUUUACUUUGAGCCUUCCUUUAGAUUUAUAGUCUCAGAUUUAUCUUCUAUGACAAUAUUGUCAUAUGCAAAAGUUAAUUCUGUUGAGAAGGAAAGAAAGAGGUAGGUCAAAUGUGAAGUUGACUAUGAGGAAAUAUAUACUUACUUCCACAUAUUAACAAUGAGUUAAUGCAUUUUGCAUAGUUGCAUCUCUUUGAUGGAUUUAUUAAUAGUAAGUUCCUAAGCUCAUCUCUAGUUAGACUCUUUGGAUGGUGAUAUUUGUAUUUCUUGGGGUGUCAUUGAGGUCAAGCAGGUGUCAUUGAGGUCAAGCAGAAAGCAGUAGGGUUCCUUUAGGAAGAUAAAUAUAUUGUAUGUCCCUUCCAUGAUUUACCAUAAAGAGCACAUUUUGCCUGUUCGUAUGGCCUAUUACCUAAUUGUUUUUUCUCCAAGUAUUUGGCUCAAAAUGCAUUGUCAGAGCUACAUACACAAUGCUGCUCAUUGCUGAACUUGCCUGCCUUUGAACUGCUUAAAAUGCAAGAUGUGCUUUGCUUUGCAUAGAUUUGCCUCAUCUGUUGUUGCAGAACACUUUGCUUACAGGAGUCCGUAUUACAUUCCUGAGAAAUGUUCUAUUUACUGAGUUAAAUUCGGAAAGAAAAAGGAAGAAACAAUGUGAAGGGAAGAAGAAACAGAUGAAGCUUCUGGGUAAGAACAAGUCUCAUCCAUAAUUGCCUUCUGCAAUCAGUUUUAAGUGACUGGUCACCAAAUUAGGUUGGCUUUUACAUUCUAAAUGAAUUGAAAUGUUGUGAUAGAGAGAGACAGAGAGAGAGAGAGAGAAAGAGAGAGAUGGUCCAACAGCUCUUGGCCGACAGACCCAUCAUGGCCGGCGGUGGCGAGCAGAGCUGUGCCUGCUUUGUCGGCCUGCAAAGCCAAGCGAGAAGGUAUCCCCACAGGUUGAUGCAGACACCACAGAAUAAAAUGCCACCGUCUUCAUCCAUGCAUAUCAGUAUCCACUUCUAUAUUAUUUGCUGGUCUGGAUGUUGAGUCAAGCGCAUGCAUGUACUAAAUUUCAUGCAUGUUUUCCCAGGUCAAUCAUGCAUCUGCAUUCUUUCAUUUCUUUAUAGGCAUCACUUUAUAUCACCAUGUUAUCAAUGAGAAGAAUGAGGUUGAUAAGAUAAGAACAUCCUAUACCAUAAUCCUUAUUAUUCCCUGUAUGAUUAAUAGUACAGGAGGCAGCAUGAUGAUACCAAUACAUGAAAAGAAGGAACAAUGGAUUGUAGACAGAGAAAAAAAGAGAAGACAUGUGAUGCAUGUUUUCAACGAGAAGAACGAGGUUGUCAAGAGAGAUAUAAUGCUUACUACCCAUUAUUACUUAUAAAUUAAUAACAUGUGAUGCAUCAUGAUGAAAAAGAAAAAGGAAGAAGAUGAGAUUAUUAUUAUUAUUAUUAUUUUUUCCUUUGGUAUAGGAUAGAGUUAGUUGACAUCUUCUAGGCUUAUCGGAUGAGGUUUCCAACUUUAGAUCUUAUCAUCCUCUUAAAAUUUUAGAUAUACGAGUUAAAAUGUAUCAAGAUGAGCUUAAUUUGUUGUAAUUUGCAAAUCAUAUGCAAAUUAUAAGGUAUUUGCUUCUAUGAUUAGGGAUAAAAAAUCUGAAGUUUAAUAGGUCUCAUCAAAUCUUUGUAUGGUUGAGAGAGACAGAGAGAGCAAUUAUGAGAGGUAAACAACCUCAAAUAACUUAAUAUUUUAAUCGGUAUAUAUAUAUAUCAUGAAUUAAGCAUGCAUAUAAUGCUAAUUCUAUACCUAACAAUCAAACAUCUGAUUUAUGUUUUGUUUGGAGGUUCAAUUGCCUCCUAAUCCUAUUCUUUUUUACUUUCUUGGACGUGUUAUAUCAUUCAAAUGUUUCCUUUUCGACUUUAUUGGACGUUGCAAUUUUCUUUUCAUGUAAGCUCAAUUUUAAAUAAAUAGGAUAUUACGACUUGUUGUUGUUGAAUAUGAUCAACAUCAUGAUGAACAUCAAAGGAACAAGAAAAGACAACUCAAGUAGUUUUUUGUCUUGAAAUUUGAAUACAAGGGAACAUGUUGGCAAUGUCAUGACCAUAAUUGGGAUUUCACAAAGAUGUGGACUAGUAAUAUAUAUAUAUAUAUAUAUAUAUAUAUAUUUUAUGCAUCAUUAAUUACAAAUAUGAAGACUUAUGAAAAUAUUUUUUUCCCAAAAAUCAUACGAAUUAAUUUGAUGAAUUUAAUCGAUACGAUCGAAAGGAUUUAAGUUCAAAUUAAUAGAAUUAGGCGCGCUUUAGUCCCAUAUAAAUAAAAGGGAUUCGAGGAUUACAAAAUCUAAUAUCGAUCAUAUUGAGAAUUAUUAUUAUUAUUAUUAAUUUUAUUAUCAUUUAUUAUAAAUAUAUUUUAUGGAUGUAGAAACUAGAAAGCAUUAAUACUAGUCAAUGACAUGACACUCCCACAUGCGGUGGAUGCAUGUGGAUCCAAAUAUGUCAUCGUAUCUUCGAGAAGCAUCAAACAUAUUGCUAUGUGAUGUUUGUUCCGAACAAAUGUGAAUACAAUAUUGCAUAUACAUGCGAUGGACUACCAUGAAAUAUAAUUCCACAUAUCAAGCCAUGAAUCCAUCACAAUACGAAUGACCAACUUAUAGUUAUUAUACAUAUAAUUUAGAUUAAUGGCCCCACCCACACUAUGUAGUUGGCACCCAACCAACCCAUCCAAUUGCAACACGUCUCUCAUUAUUAGAUCAAAUUCAAUUGCAUGUUGCCAAAGGAAUAUGAUUCAAAUUUAAAGCCAAAUUCCUCUCUCUCUCUCUCUCUCUCUCUCUCUCUCUCUCUCUCUCUCUCUCUCUCUCUCUCUUCCAUAUAAUAAUAAUACAUGCACACAUCCACCAAUUUUUACCCAAAAUUCCUCAAUUUCUUCUUCUUUUACUUAUUGUUUUUACAUGUCUAUUCUUUCAAUGUUUCAAAUUAACGGAUGUGCCCCUACAAAUUUACAUAUAUUUUCCUUUUAAAUAUUAAAAUCCUUCAUUCAUCCAUAACCAUACUCCUAUGAUAAAUAAAUAAAUAAAUAAUAUAUUAAAAAAUUAACAGUGAAUUAUGUAUCGACUUAAUUUAGAAACUAUUAAUAUUUUAUCUAUGAACACAUAUUAGAAAAUUUACCAAUUCAUCCUGUCCGUCGGUCGGGUGAUGAUUUUAAAAUUUCCUCUAAAAAUUUUUAAUACCUAAAAUAUUGAUAAAUUUUUAUAUUUAAAAUAUUAAUUUGAUGAUGGUAUAUCGGAUUCAUUUACUACAUAUUAAAAAUUUAAAAUAUUAUCUAAUAAAUUUAUAUAUAAAAAAUUAAUUUGAUGAUAAUGUAUAAGAUCAAAUCGUCAAGUGUUUAUGAUUCAAAAUCUCAUAAAAUAAAUAAAAAUAUUGAAGAGUCUAAUCAUUAUAGUGCAAUUGAUAAUAAGCGUAUAAUUGUAAAUAUAUACUAAGGGUUAAAUACGAAAACCAUUAAUGUUGGAGGGGUAUUAUGUUAAUUUGCCUUUUCUUUUACAGGAAACCGCGAGCUGGAAACGAAGCACUCCGAGAAGAGGCGGCAGCAGCAGAAGGCGAGGAAGAAAACAACACGUUGAAGAAGAAGAAGAAGGUAAAGCACAGUCGUGAUUGAAACGAAACAAGAAGAACCAGAGAGAGAGAGAGAGAGAGAGAGAGAGAGAGAGUUGGAUGGAUUCGACGUCGCGAUCAUACGGCCGCACCCCCACAAACCUCCCUUCCUUUUACCUAAUCUAUCUUCGUUGACGUUCCCGAUUGGUACGCGCGUCGGGGCGGAGGGGUCGGUGCGCUAUCCGGCAUGGUGGAUUCCUCCGCCUAGGGGAAUUGAUCCCACCCCCACUCUUCCACUCGGGAGGGUAUUCCUUUCCCUCCUCCUUUUGUCUUUUAUUUUCCUUUUUCCCGGUUUUGUACCCUUGACUCUUGUUGCGUCUGGUUGGUGCUUUUCUGGCUUCUUAAUUUGCAGGGUUGAUCUCUUUUCUUGUGUUUUUUAUUCUUGACGCGCCGGUCGCUGAUCUCCGAAGAGGGAUUGGGGCGGACGAGCUGAAACGAGGUGGGUUCUGCCGUCUUCUUUGCUCCCUUUUUGGAUUUAUCUUGUGAUUCGAUGGGUUUCUUUGAGUUCUUGGCUGAAAUUGAUAAAAGCUAGUUCAUUUCUACCAGGUGCCUUGAUAUUUGAUUGUAUUGGUGCUUCAUUUUGGGCCACAAUCCCUUUGAAAAAGGAAGAGCGUAUGAUAGGUUAUUGUGUGAGGGAUUUUAAAUUGAAUUAGACAUAACCCUUGGUUUUUGAUUGUAUUGGUGCUUCAUUUUGGGCCACAAUCCCUUGGAAAAAGGAAGAGCGUAGGAUAGGUUAUUGUGUGAGGGAUUUUAAAUUGAAUUAGACAUAACAAGGAAUAUGCAGACGAAAAAAGAAUCCUUAGUUUCAGACUAGACUGCAUGACUGCUUAUAUUGUGUGAGGGAUUUUAAAUUGAAUUAGACAUAUCAAGGAAUAUGCAGAGGAAAAAAUAAUCCUUAGUUCCAGACUAUACUGUAUGGUGGCUUAUAAAUUUGGAAGAAAUAAAGGUAGGAUUUUGAAUUAUUCAAAUCUCAGUAAUGGUAAGCUCGUUCACUGAGUACGCCCACUUGGUAAUUUGCCUGGAGACAGUUCUAUCGAUGAAGCAAUUUGUGUUCAUUUUCCUACUUGUUCUUGUGGUUGCUGAUCAAGUCAGUAACUAGAAUCUUGCAAGAGUAACGUCUAUGGUUAAUGACAGAAGGGCCUGAAUGACCCUUUUUUGUCUAUUUCAAGAUGAUGAAUUUUAGACCCUUAAUUGUGUCCGACCUCUUGAAAGUGUGAUUCUUUAAUAUAUGUUAUUAAUUUUUCUGUGUAACGUGUAAUACAUCUCAAGUUCUUUAACUGGACAACUUAUUUAGUAUAGGAUGCUUUCGUUCUUGACACUAGUUAGCAGAAACUAAGCUGAAUGAUGCCCUAUGAAAUGCAGGACACAUUACAGCAACUAAUAAAAACUCAUAAUUGCAUAUCAACGAUGCAUUUUUUUUUUGCCAGACAAGGACAUGGAACAAGAAAACUAAGGGUCAUAAUCGUCUUGGGACAUAUUAAGAGGUCAGCUUGUCAUAUGAACUCUUUUUGUAAGCACCAAAUAUUUUUAAUAGUAUCAUGCCUUGAUAGUGUAGUAAUCUGGAACUUCUGGAUUUAUUUAUUGAAACUAGAUGCAGUGUUUUAUUUAUAGACAUCACACCAGCAAAAGCUAAACUGAAGUAUACAAGUAACCUUAGAUUUACUGUUGUAUCAUCUUUCUCAAACUAAGCUCAUCUUUCUCAAAGAAUAAGUUAUAUAAAAUGCAGUAUGCAUUUUUAUAAAAUAACAAAAAUAGGUAGUCCCACCACUUUGGAAUCUGGAGAAGGUCAAAUACCCAAUGCCUUGCCCAGCUUUAAUUUAUGUAUAGCAUAAACUUAGUUUUGCCUUACUCCACCAAAUUUGUUGGAGUUUAACGUUUCUAUCUACUGAAAAUCACUCUGAAAUUCAAAUUUUCAAAAAGUUAAAUCAAGGUGAGAUUAUUUGGAAACAUUGACAAGAACUAUUUUCUUUCUGUACUUAUCUGUGUAAGGUUGACUAAUUCCAUAGGUGUAAGGAUCAAAGAAACACAUGGUAGUGACACAGUCAGACUCUAAAUCUUGCCCUUGUAGUUUUCUUCUUUCUAGAACUUAUGCUAUGAUUAUCAUAAGAUAGUUGUACAUUUUAUGGUUAGAUGCUUUUCUCCUGUAAUGCCUUGUUUAAUUUGAUAAUUCUCAAUGUUGCAGUUACUCAUCUGUGGAUCUGUUAGCUUGUGACUUUUAUGUCUUGGCAGUAGAAGAGGAGCUCAUAUCUACUCUCGCAUUCAUAUGAACAUUUCUUUGGAAUCUAUUGCAGGUGCAAGUAUGAGCUAUGAGCAUGGUGAAAGGUGAGCAUUUUUCACUUCUUUUUAUCAACUUUUAUAUUCUGUUACUUUUAUAUUCUUUUUGUCAAUCAUCAUAUGAAGUUAGAUUUAUACGCUUUAAAUCUGCUUUUUUUCUGUUGAGGUCCUAACUAUACCUGUUUUGCUAGUCAUGCUGAGAAGGUUCUCUCAAACGGAGAUGUCUAUGUUGGAGAUUUUAAUGGUUUGCUUCCUCAUGGAAUGGGGAGAUAUACAUGGUUGAAUGGAACUAUCUAUGAUGGUCAAUGGGAGAAAAACAAAAUUACUGGCAGAGGAAAGAUACUCUGGCCAUCAGGAGCUGCAUAUGAAGGUGAAAUUAGUGGAGGUUUCCUCCAUGGAUCUGGCAGUCUUUUUGGAUUUGAUGGAUCAGUUUAUAAAGGUUCAUGGAUGAUGAACAGACAACAUGGAAAGGGAAUCAAAACUUACUCUAAUUUAGAUGAAUAUGAUGGUUUCUGGAGGGAAGGGUUGCAAGAAGGUUUCGGCACACACAAAUGGAGUAAUGGAAACACUUAUAGUGGAAAUUGGAAGUCUGGGAAGAUGAGUGGUAAAGGGGUCAUGAAGUGGUCAAAUGGUGAUCUCUUUGAUGGUGAUUGGUUAGAUGGAUUAGAAAAUGGAUCUGGCUAUUAUAAAUAUGCUGAUGGGUCACUUUAUGUUGGAAUCUGGAGCAGAGGGCUAAAAGAUGGACAUGGAACCUUUUUUCCAACUGGAAGCAGAACACCUUGUCAACUUACUUAUUCUAAAUCUAUUGUGUGUGGUAAUAAAGUGCAAAGUCUUGGUCCUGCUUCAUUUUUUAGUAAUGAAGGACCCGUGAGUAAAAUGUUGUCUAAAAGAAGCACAGUCAAUAGAUGGAGCAUGAAUGGUUGUCUCCGAAGUACUAAACGGAUAUCACAUAGGCCGUCUUCCCUUGAUGGCAUCUGGAAUGUUAAUGAUGCUUGUGUUAGCAGUUCAUCGGAGAACACAUCUCGUACAUUAUGUUCAACUGAUGAAAGUCAACUUGAGCUCCUAGAUGACAGAAUUUUAGUUUACGAUAGAGAGUACAUGCAAGGAGUUUUAAUAACAGAAAGAAUGAGAUAUUGUGACUUUGGAAGACCACAAAGGGCUAAAUGGCACUGCAAAAUGAGCAAGCAACCAAAGAGACCUGGUGAAACUAUUUACGGAGGUCACAGGAGCUACUAUCUGAUGCUAAACUUGCAACUUGGAAUUAGGUAAUAUUUCUUAAGUUAAUGCACCCAAGCAGGUUGUUACCACUUCAUUAUGUAGCUAAUAUGUUUUGCAGUUACAGUUUACAUAACCAUGUUGGAAACCUGUGUACCUUCUCUCAGCUUUUUGUUUAGACCUCACUUGUGCUCUCUACUUAUCUCUUUAUGUUAUGAGCUAUUACAAAACCAAUUUGUGCCCAUAUUUCACUGGAUCAUGAAUGUAAGCAGGUUUUCAUGUUGUAAAAAAUGAGUAGAUUUGAAUUGAAAGUAAAUUUUUUAAGUACCAACUUCGGAAGGACAUUUGAGCAAAUUACAUUUUACACCAUUUAGCCACCUCAACCAAACUAUGUUUUUUUCCCUCCCUUUUCUUGAUGGCUUCCUGCCCAUGAAAAGAAAGUAAAGCAAGAUUACCCGAAAAAAAAUCUCUGGAUUGAACUUAAAUGGAAAGUUUGCCUGGGACUAACUGGCUGACCAGAUGAGUUUUAGUUAAGCCAAGAAUGAUAAUAUGUCCAUUUAAAUGCCAAUAAAUUUUCCUUCUUUUAUCCUGAUGAUGUAAAGUUCUUAAUGAAACAAUGUUUAGAAGCUACUGUAUCUACAAAUUUAUCCGUUCAGCAUCCAAUAAUUAGCAUCUCUUUUUGUUUAGUAAUUAUUUGCUUCCUGAUCGCAAUAUAAAGAAACUGGAGUUCUCAUUUCAAAGUUGACAGGUACACGGUUGGGAAAAUCACACCCGUGCCUAUGCGUGAAGUCCGUUCUUCGGAUUUUGGGCGUCGAGCUAGAAUACAAAUGUACUUCCCGAGCAGAGGCUCCCAAUUUACGCCUCCACACAACUCGGUGGGUUUCUUUUGGAAGGACUACUGUCCAAUGGUUUUUAGGUAAUUGGUCGACUUUCCAGUUCUUCCUUUUUGCAGGUUGACCCUCUUAAAUAAAUGUAUUAGUGAUGUAGCUAUUAAAGCAGGUUAGAUAAUAAUUCUUUAUACUACCUUUCAUCACCCUAGGAUCAAAUAACAAACAACUGUCUUGGAGUUGUUUGUUGAUAACCAUCAAUCCAUAAGAGAACAAAGAACUUGUGAAACCUCCAGAAAGUACAAUUCAUAUUCUUCUAAAAGUUUUGUUCCUCUUUGGUUAUAGAAUCUCGAGUUGCAAUCAUAAGUAACUUAGCAAGCAUGAUGCCAUUAAUACUGGUCCAUACAAUGAGGAUCUGGUGGCCUUGUGUAAUCCUUUUCAUUUAAAGUUUGCCACUCCCUGUCAUAUAAUUUAGAUUACAGAUUGUAUCUGUUGUCCUAUUUACAUGUGUAGGAUUUUAUGUUUCCUUCUUUUCAGUUGGGUGUUAAAAAAUGGUGAUUGCUAACAAUAUAUGCUUGCAAAUUUGCCGGUCCAAUUCACAUAUCUUGGGUAAGUCUUUUCUAUCAUCUUGGAAUCCACAAGCAAGCAGAAUAACAUUGAUAAAAUGUUACCUGAUCAUACUUUGAUUAUGACAGUUGGCUUAUUGAAAAUUUAUUAAAAGUAUUAUAAUUUACUAUUUCCUAAAAGUAAGUUUUAAAUUUUGUGGUGAAGGAGCAUGCCAGUGAUGCUGUUUUGAACUUAUGAUAUCUACGUCUAAAUCCGAUAUAUGAUUCUAAAUGUAAAUCAUUUCAAUCAAUUUUAAGUUAUAUUUUAAAAUUACAAAUCAAUGUGUAACUUGUCAGUAGAGAAAUCUCAAUAAGAAAAUAAGUACCGCAUUUCUUGAGGCUAUAGGUGAUGGCUUGUUUUCAUUCUUUUCAUGAGAAACCUUCAAUCACUUGUUUAAUAUCUUAAACAGGUUUGCUCUUUAUGAUAAUACAGUCAACUUUGACAAUUAAAUGGUAACAUGUUAUUAGGAACCUUCGUGAAAUGUUCAAGAUAGAUGCUGCUGACUAUAUGAUGUCGGUAUGUGGAGGUGACGGUCUCAAGGAGCUUUCUUCUCCAGGAAAAAGUGGCAGCAUCUUUUAUCUUUCACAGGAUGAAAGAUUUUUAAUAAAGACCCUCAGAAAAUAUGAACUUAAGGUUUGAUAUGCAUAUUCCCACAGUCAAAACUAGAUGUGUAAUUUUUUGGCAAGGCAUUUGCUUUUCCUCAGCCAUUUUUUCGUUAAACAUUUCUUCUUAGCCAUCUUAUAUUAGUACAUUACUCAGUCAAAAUAGUGGCAUAGAAAACAGUUUAGGUUGAAAAUUGUCGAUGUUUCGGAUAGCAACUGAAUUUGUAUCAACACAGCAUACAGAUUAUGAUUGUGCAAAUUUCUAUUUCAGAUUCUACUGAAGAUGCUUCCCAACUAUUAUGGUCAUGUUGGAGCUUAUGAGAAUACCCUGAUAACAAAAUUUUUUGGUCUCCAUAGACUGACCAUAAAAAGAAGGAAGGUAUAUAUACCCUGAAUUUCUAAUGCAUUUCUGGAUUGCAAAUGAUUUUGCUGCCGUCUAAUAUUUUGCUUUUGCAGGUUCGCUUUGUUGUUAUGGGGAAUAUGUUCCGCACAGAACUGCGAAUUCACCGUCGGUAUGACUUGAAGGGUUCAUCUCAUGGGAGAUCUACAAGCAAGCAUAAUAUUAAUGAGAACACAACAUUGAAAGAUCUUGACCUCUCAUAUGUCUUCAAUUUAGAGAAAUCAUGGCGUGAGUCGCUUUUUAGGUUAGCUGCUUCUGAUCCAUUGGGUCUUCAGGAUGCUAAAGCUAUAAUCAUAUAUUUUUUUUUCUUUGAUGAGAAGGAUAGGCAACAACCCAUCCAAUUUCAUUAAAGCAAUGGAAUGCAAAAAAUAAAGGAAACAAGAAUGGUGGGCCUAAUCUUGAACACAAAACAAAAGACAGGAAGAAGCUUUAUCAAAUUCCAUGGAAAGAAGAGACCUGAAAAGAAAAAUAAAAGAAGCUCUUCAUAUAUUUCUUGGCAUGGUUUAAAAUAUCAGGUACUACACCUUUUAUGGUCCAGCCUGGUUCAUACCGAUGUACUAACACAUGAUAUGCUUGUACGUACUAUUGUACCAUUAAGGAGGGAAGAAGAAGAGGAGGUGGAGCAUAGGAGGGGAGAGAGAUGGAAAGUAGAGGAGGAAAAGGAGGACGAGUACCUGGGCUAGUGUUGGUGGGCCGGUGGGCAUCAAGAAGGGAUCACGAGGGGUCGAGCAUGAUAGAGAGGAUUUUAGCCCUAUAUUAAAAAAAAGAAAGAGAAUAAAGGAUGAACAGAACCACCUGAAAAGGGUCAGUCUAUAUGCUGGUUUUCUGUCAAACUGGUAAAUAUUACACUGUAUGAACCGGUUCAGGCAGGAUAUAGAACCAUGCUUCCUGGCAAUAUUGACUCUCCAAGAAUGGAACCACCAUGGGAGUUCUUAAGAAGGUCAUUUGCACUAUUGUUAAAAUUGUUGAUAAUCUCGCUUUAUCCUUGGCCCUCCAAAGUUUAUAUAAUAUAAAAUAGCAGAGCCAUCUCACACCUUCGUCCAUAAAUCUAGAACAAAUUCAUUUCUCCAAGCAUCUCAAAGAUCCUCCAAAAAAAGUAGGGAUUUGUCUAAUCCCCAAAAGCCUGCAAUGAGAGCCCACACAUCAAUAGGCCUUCACAGUAGAACAAAUUAUGAUUGAUAUUCUCACAAUGAAAAUUGCAUCACAUAAUGUAAAUUGUAAGUUGUAGGUACUAUUUUAUCUAUCUGCUCACAUGCUAGAGAUACUCGUCAACCACUUGAGUUUUUUAUUUUCUUUUUUCCGCAGACAAAUCUCUCUAGAUUGCAAGUUCCUAGAAUCACAAUCUAUAAUUGAUUAUAGCAUGUUGUUGGGACUGCAUUUUAGAGCUCCUGAACAUCUGAAGGCUUAUUCAAAAUCUCAGAAUUUACUGAAGCAUAGUGCAAAUUCAGCAGAUGAUAACGGUAGGUAUCUUCUCCAGUUCUGGUAUCUAACUAAGCUAAAUACAUAAACUUCUGUUUGUGUUCAUGUAUCUGCCAUCUGCAUUUUAAUGAACAGCUUAUGCUUUGACAAAUCAGUAUCUUUUGACAAAUUAGCAUCUUUUAUACAGCUUCUACAGCUUACCUGAUUAUCAAUUUUAAUUAUAUUGUCUAUGUUCUAAACUUCUAAUUGUAUAUAAUGUUCCCUUUUUUCUGUAAUUUAAUCAAUAGUCAUUCUUUAUAUUAUAAUUGAUAUAUAUGUUCUGAGCAAAUUAAUUAUAUUAGCAACCUCUAAAAUUUAGCUAAUCCUUUAGAAAGAUGCAUAGUAAAAUGUGAGGUAAGUUCUUAUUGACAUACAUUUCAUCUCAAAGUUUUUUUAACCUUGUAUAAAGCAACCUGGUUCUGUCUAUAGACAUGCUCCUUUUUUUCACAAAAAAGAGAAACUAUAUUACUUAGAAACACUCAAGAAAAACAGGUUGCUUUUGUCAAAAUUUAAGAGAAAAAAAUUGUGAAAUGCAAUGCUUUCUAGCAUAGCUCACCAGCCAAUUAGUGCUCCUAUUACCUUUCUUGAAGACAUGGGUAAUCUAAACUUAUCAAAAUCACAAAAAAACCAAUGGUGUCUCUAACAUUGUUGAGAUUUGAGAAUAACCCAAGGGAGGAUCGCUUGGUCAUUCAGGCAAUCAGCCAAAACAGAAACAUCAGAAAGUGUAAAUGUCAAACCCUUUCACGUGUGACCAUCUGAACCUUUCUCUAAUAGCUAAAAUGUCGCAGUAUAAACUUAUUUGAUUCUUGAUGAACCAGUACCCCUUCAUGUGUGGCCAUCUAAACAAGUACCAGAAUCACUAUGAAGAAUAGAGCGAGCACCCCUAGCUUGAAGCUAUUGUUUCCCAUGAGUCCUUUGUGCUAAGCUUCAAACCAUCUUGGCUCCAAUUUUCCCAUCUUACCAAUUUAUGAUAGAUGAUAAUAUUUCCCUUGGAAUUAGGGAUAUCAGCAUAAUCAAGUGCUUAACUAUGACUUUUUAAAUCAGGGUCAUCGUAAUAGUUUCUUUUUUUUCUCAUUAGAGAAAACAUCAGUUGGUGGAUUUCAUAAAUGCCAGAGUAUCGGCAAUUAAGGUUCUUUAUCUAUUUGCAUUUUGGCAUCGGCCUUUGGAUGUUGAGGAGGAUGUUUUUUAAAUAUUGAGUGAAGUAAUGUUGAAUAUAUAUGAAUUGCAGAAACCAAAUGAGCCAGUAAAUAAUCAAACACAGUUCUAUGGAGAUUUAUGAUGGCCACGUACUUGCAUAUGUUGUGCCUUAGUUUCUGCAUACAGAUUUAUCUGCAACAUCUAAGAAUAGUUAUAGUUUAAUGGAGUCCAUGAUGGAAGAUCUUGAGUAUUCAGUGAAGAGAAGAUAUUUCUCUAUAAGCAGUUCGGGUUAAGCUUUAUAAUUUAAUUAGUCAAAAGCUCCAUGAGUUCCAGCUUGCUUGUUCUUUAGAUUUUGCUAACUAUAUAUUGACACAUUCUGUCUUCCAGCUGAUAUUCAAUUACGUGAUGAAGUCAAAACUCCACCAAAGGGUUUACGCUUGGUCGCUCAUGAACCAAGUUCUGUCAGUAGCCUGCCAGGUUCACACAUACGAGGCAGCACCUUAAGAGCAUCUGCAGCGGACAAUAAGGAAGUUGAUCUUCUUUUGCCUGGUACAGGAAGGUACUGUUUCUAUAAUCCUUUCCAUAGCAUCUUGCAAGGAACAUAGUUGGCAAUUUUGUUGAUAAUAGUUCCCAUUUUGACACAAUUUAUUGUUUAUUUAGUAGUCAACAUAGUACUAAAGUAAAAUAAUUAUAUAGUAUUGUUCACAUAAAACCUUGGAUCAGGUGCUUCUCUUCUCACAGUUGCCUGAAAAUUGCUUUUUGUGAUUUGAUUGGUGGUAGUCAUGGUCCGAUCUUUUUCCUUCUAAUAUUAAAGGGUCUUAGUGCCACGUGCUGUAGUUACAUAUCUAAUCUGCCCGCUAUUCUGUACAACAGAAGGAUGAAAAUUUCUUUUGGGGUCUCGAGUAAUAUUCAUUAAUGUUUUUAAUUUGAAGGCUUAAUAUUUUCUUGCUUACUAAUAUGCAUUAUUCUAAGUGGAAGUAUAAUCUGAAAAGAUGUGCAAACUUAUGCUGUGAAGUCACUUGUCCUAAAACGUAUGAAAGAUGAUGGAUUUGUGAUGGUAUUCAUAGAAAGUGAAACUCUUAAAUCAGGGUUUUUGACAGCAAUACAGGGAGCACAAUCACUCUAUCUGACAGAAAUUUAGAUAACAUUCCAGGGUUGUUAAGUAGUUUAUCAUUCAAGACACCAGCUUCUUUUUUAUUUGUCAAGGAAAAAAAAAUCCUCUGUGGUACUGUCAAGUUGAAAAUGCUGUGUUCUCAUGGACUUUGCAACCCAUGUGCUGCCUCCUAUUGUACAAAUCAGCCUAUACACCAUGUAGUUGGUUGAGGUAAUUCUACAACAUACUUCUAAAACCUAGGCAGUGAUGUAGCGGAACAUAGGUGCCCAAGAAACUACAAACUUCUAAAACCUAGGCAAUGAUGUAGUCAAACAAAAGAGCCCAAGAAGCCUGAAGCAUUUUACACAGAUUUUAAGGAAACCAUAUGUGGACUUGAAUGCUGAAAAAUAAUGAUCUUCUUCUCCACUAAAAAGGUGAGAUGAGUUUACAUAUUGCUAAUCUUGCUAAUGUUUGCUGCCUUUAGACAUUAUAAAAGAGCUUAUGGUUAAAAUUACGCCAAAGAAUUUGUUUGAACUAUUCCAUUUGAUUCCCUGCUCCCACCGCCAUGCAUGAAAAUAUGAUUUGUCUUAAAUUAACAAUGUUUUGAUUUUGUUCUGUUUUGCAUUGAUAAUCCCAAAUCUACUACUAUAUUUUAUUGUUGAAACCUAAUUGUCCUGUGACCAUGUCAGAAGUUGAUUGACUUGAAACCGCAUCAAAUGAGAUGCUUAUUGACCAAGCUUUCGCACCAGUCAUUUCUUCAUUAGACUGUUCAAACAUGCUGUGAUAACCAUGGUUUUUGGACUCUACCAUCCCUAAAGAUAUCCGGGUUGCCGUGAAUCUUGUGGAGGCUUGUGCAGAGUUAGUUAAAUUAACUUCACAUACAAUACCCUUGCUAACACUCUGUUAAUUGUUUAGCAUGUUGUUAGAACUUCCCUUGAAGCCUUUUGGCCAUAAAAAAAUUUCAUUCUGUUCAGAUUGUCUCGAGUUUGAGAAACUUCUAGAUUUUUCUAGUCAUCAACAACUCCUGUGUUGAUGUCCAAUUAUAAGCCUGCCUAUAGUUUUGGAAAGAACUGCAAGAAAAACAAUCUCGUAGAAUGUCCGUAACAAUAUAUAUUUUGCCAUCAUUAAGAUCUAUAAAAAACAUAUAUUUAGUCAAGUUAAGAGUAUUUAAAUAUUAAAGUUCGUCUUUGUAAGUCUUCAUCUAACUCCUCAGACCAUCAAUAUUAAUCAUUUCAACUCCUUUAAUUACCAUAACACCGUCAAUGUUAGUCUCAAGCCUAAUGAAAAAAAGGUUUGAGUGUUGUGUUAGGCCAUCGACAAUUAGCAUAAAACUAUGUCAGAUUUCAUGAAUAUGAAUCUUAACCAUAUCUUGUAGAAUGUUCAUAUUUAGGUUUAAAUUUUGUUUAACAUUUGUGGGACUGAGUAAUUUCAACACUGUAAACUUUUGGCUAAGACAUCCAAUAAAAUUUUAAACAGGUUGCGUGUACAACUAGGGGUGAACAUGCCAGCUGAAGCUAAUUGGAAGCCUCUUCACAACAAAGGGCUACAUUCAGCAGAAUUUAAUCCUGUUGAGGUCUAUGAUGUUGUUCUCUAUUUUGGGAUCAUAGACAUAUUGCAGGAGUACAACAUGACGAAGAAAUUUGAACAUUGCUGCAAAUCACUCAAGUGCGACCCGCUAUCGAUCUCUGCUGUUGCACCAAAGAUGUAUUCAAAACGAUUUGUUGAGUUCCUGGAGAAAGUUUUCCCUGAUUAGAUAUGCAGCGGAGGAAAACCUUCUAUCCGGUUGACAAUCUUUCUCAAAAGUUUUGUGUAGCAUCCUGCAAUCUGUCAGUUGGUGGAAGAAGCUUGGUAAAUGAUUGUAUCUAUUCCUAUUUGUUGUAUGCAAAUGACAGAAUAAUUCCAUAGUUCAAAUAAUAUGUUCUCAGGUGGUUCAUUCCUCCGGUAUAAAGUUGUUCAUGGAAAAUUAACAGACCGUACGUCCUAACCAGCCUUAAAGAGGAGUUUUGCAAACAUGUUCGAGAAAAUUAUUUUACAGGUUGAAUGACAAAUUAUCAUAACCUUCCCAGGUGGGAUGACAGAUUUGGUGAUCCUCAUCCAUGUUACCUGAGCCAGUGAGGGUUUGAUCAUGGUCAAUGAUGGUUGCAACCAAGGUAAGUAAUAUUGUACCGUACCGAUGUUUCGAGGUUGGCUCGGUAUGAUACGGUACCGACGUACCGAGCAAUACACCAGGACGUAUCGAGCGAUACAUCAGGGUUUAUCGAACAAUUUUAAAUAUUUCUUCCUCUUACUAUAGCAUGAUCUGUCCGAUAACGGACGGUCCGCGUAUCGAUAUACCGUCGAAUUGGUACGUAUCGCCCGUACUGAAUGGUACCAUUCGAAAUUACAUAUCAUAGUUGCAACAAUACAUGAUAACAUUGUAUGAAUUGUUGUAUAGUGUAGUAAUGUUACAAAUUCCUGCCAUGAAAAGUAGUAAGUGAGAAUUAUUUGAAUCUUUAAUUUCAAGGAGUAAUUCUUGUGUUCCAUGUAAAAGACUUGGUGCUUUUGUAUUCUAUGCAACCCUGAUCCAGUCGAUCCAGAUCACUUCCUUUCACAAGGAAUUUGAAAUAUUGAAGAGGGAGGGUACAUGACUUUUUUCCGAACCUGAUGAGUUAGUUUUGGGCAUUUGACAAGAAUUAAAAUCUUCUAUGUGUCGUAAACUUGUUCCAGAUUUGAUUUCCAGGAAUGGCAGUUUGAAUCCUUCACAUCCAUCAAUUACCUUAAGCCAUCGGAAUUAUGUCCUGAUAUGACCAUUUACAUCUUCCACAAUUGUAUCCACAGGAUUCAGCUUGGCCCAGACAGAUGCAUCUAGAUAUCCGAGCUCGUAUAGCUCAUCCAGGAUGUGAUCAUCUGCAGGUUCCAGGGCCCAAUUGAAAAGCUGAAAUUGACACAAUGCAUCAUGAUGCACAUCGCUCACUAUAAAAUCCAGUGAAUGAAAAAUAAAUGGUGCAUGCUCCUAAGUAAUCACAAGUACCUGUCGCGGAGUAGCUCUGUUUUCUGGAUUGCAAUCUGGGCUAAUUCCAGUCCCUUUCAGUCCCAAUCGACUGGCAGGGAAAGCACAUACACGAACCUGCAAUUAAACAACAAGGAUCAUCUCAAGCAUUUUGAUUAUGUCCAACCAUCCACGAUAACCAGAUGGUACAAGUUAACACAUCAAUGCUCCCAAGAAAAGGGUAGUAAAGUGAUAUUUCAGAUGAAAAAGAUGGAACAUAUUUAAUUGGACUAUAAAAUAUCGAUAAUAUCGUAUCAGAGUAAAAAAACUCGUGACAGCAACUCAUGAACCCCAAGUUGCUGCAGAGUUACAUCCAGGUCAGGAUUAAAUUCAUAUAUGUAACAGAGACAAGUAUCAAACAGACUGGCAAGUAAAUCAAAGUCAGCCCAACGCAGUGUCCAUUAACAUUGAAGUGGAACCAAAGGUGAAGUACCAUAAAUUUUACAGUCUGGUGAGAAUUUUGUAAAAUGAUUGAAGAGGUAGUCCAUCACUAUUUGAAAUAGGAUAGCACUAAGGAUUAUAAUAGAAAAUUGUUAGGUGUGCUGUCAGAGGCACCAUCAUAUCCUUCUUACUUGGGAGUUAAAGUUAGAACAGUACCGAACUUUCUUAUAGCACAUGUUCAAGGGUUGGAACUACACAUGUCCGAUUAAGAAUAGAAGUGGCAACUUGAUUACCAUUGCUGUUUGGAAGAUAUUUAAAAUGAGAGAGAGAGAGAGAGAGAAAUGAAUAUGCCAUGCGGCAUACAUAUGCAUCUUCACUGGGAACAUUCAGAAGAUCUUUAUAGGCACCACCAUUGAUUUUUUUUGCAGUCAGCAGAAACCAACAAAAACAUGAGUCCAACUACCCUGAAAAAUUCCAACAAAACAUACUUCAACAUAUUAUGGAAUAUAGUCUAAAAUUACUUACCGUAUUUGGAGCAGAAGUUGGCGGUAUAAACAAUGUCAAACCCCCAUCAAUGCAUAAUCGAUUACGGUAUAUAGUGGCUGGCCGAGGAGCUAGAUAGCUGGACCAGAAAUGAAGUCAUUCUUUAAUUGAUAUCAAAGUUCUUGCAAAAAAGAAAGGAAAAGAAACUAAACUAACAUACCCUGGAAUAAAGGAAGACGUAAAAACUGCAUUUAUUAAAUCUUCCUUGGAGUCAAAUUGGUCCACGAGUAAUCCCUUUGGCCUCCACAAUAGUUGAGUGAUAGCAACUGCAUGAAACGAAAAUUUGUAAACUCCAGCAACAUUACUUUAAGUUAUCAUUGACAUCAACAAUACAAGUCUGGUAUCAGUUAAAUAAUAAUGACUUUUCAUACAAUAUUCAAAAUCUUGAAUGUGGUCCCUAAGCUAUGUAAUUCUAACAGGUUUAUAAAGCCAUAAAAAAAUAGUUGAUGAAAUAACUAGUUUUGUACCAGGAUGGCAGGAUCCAUUAUCAUAGAUGAAUCCAGAAAAAGGAGUGAGAAGCCCAUGAGAGUAUGAAUACCAUAUAAAGGCUAAAGAUUGUAAUGUCAUUCAAAUUCAACAUCAGCACUCCUUUAUCACAGUAAGCUUACCACGAAUUCUUCCACUGGAUCUAGUGUGCACAUCAUCUGGAAGAAAAUCAUUCAGAACAUCCCUAAGUACUGCCUGAACAAAAUAACAUAUAAAAGCUAAGUUAAAAUAGAGUUUCAAUUUUUAACAAAGAUAGCAUGCAACGAUUAAAGUAUUCUAUAUAUUUUUUGGGUGUGCUUCUAAUUUCUUUAAAAAAUAAACAUCAUAAUAAAGUAAUAUAAUAAUAAUAAAGAGCACAAUGAAGUAACUAAAGGCACAAGGGUACUUUUAUAAGUAUUUCUGCACUUAGUUUAUGCAUCACACAAGGACCAAAUGAAGAAAAGAAGACUAAUUUGAUUCAGUCUAAUUGUGACCUUCCAAAAUACAAAUAAAAAAUCAGUGCUAGUAUAUAAAAGUACCCCAAGCCGAAAUGCAGUGCCUUUAAGUCGGCAAUCUUCAGCCAGAAUCUUGGUUGCCAUCAGAGCUUCUUGCAUGGUCUUACCAGAAGCAAUUACGACACAGACUACGGCACCAGCUGAAGAGCCAGCGAGUGGUGUGGUUUCCUGAAUCAAUGAAAUGAUUUAACUCAUUAUGAGAUCUACAAUGUAGACACACAAAUAAAGUCUAAACAUGAUUAAUUAACAUACUGAGACAUAGCUUCCAUCCAAUCCACACCCAUAUGACAGCCAUGUAUACAAACACACAUUAGAAUGCCAUGCCAAAAGGCAAUUUGGUGGAAACACUAAUAAAGUUCAAGGUGGAUUGAAGUCAAUCAUAGAAAAGUCUUACUUUGCAUUAUCUAACGUGCAUAGUAACUCUUUUCUAGUCUUGCAGUCCAUGUAACCAGCAAAGUCACAUGAAAUGAAAAGCUGGACUAAUGCCCAAUGGGAGCAUAGAUACCAAAAUAAUAUAUAUAAGUUCUUGUAAACAUCUGCAAUCAGAUAUCCUAUUUUGCGUCUAAAAUGUUGUAAAUCAGGUCACUGACUUGGAAAGGACUAGACCUCGUAGCUAAGACCUUAGAAAAAGGAUGAACAAGUAACAUUGUCUACAAAAGAAGGAUGGCCCUUUUGAGAAGAAGUUGAAUGCUACCUACUCCUGAUGCCGAACACCUAAAGCUUCAGCAAGCAAGGCAGAAUGGAGAGUGAGAGAUCAAGGCACCGAAAAAAAUGAGAAAAAUGGGGGUUUUACAGUCUUCUCAUGUUAUCAGGAAGAAUCAAAUCAAAAGUCAAUGCUGACACAUAGACAGAAAGAGGACCUUUUAUCUUUACCAGAAUUCACACAUAAGUCGUAGGACUAACAUACCGAUGACAUAAGAAUAGACAUUGCUAUGCUAAUAAAUUACUGCCUAAUCUCUCUCUCUUUCUCCGUGCAUUGAAGAAAUGAAGGACUUUCUCCAGGUGCAACAACCAAUACCAUAGCAAAUAAUCAUUUUCAUUAUGCUUGCUGGGGUUGUAAACCUGUUACAUAGAUCUAGUGGGCUACCACAAUUGACUAAAUAUUCCCUCCUUAGCAUGAGAACUAUGUCAGAAAUAAGCUUAUAAUACCUGCAGCAUAUAUAUACACUUUCAAUCAUAUGCAAAAUGUUACAAGGACACUUAAAUUUACAUGCACUGGGAACCGCUGAUUUGUUACUCAAUUUUUGUAUCUUUCUAUCCCCCAAUUCUACCUCAAGACUUAGGACAUGAUAAAUUUGAUCAAUAGACAUACAUUCAUGACCUACCUCAUAUGGGAUACAGUAGCUCAAGAUACAACACCUAUGAAGGUUCUAAAGCCCCAAACUGGAGGCUAAUAAAGGCCAUUUUUCCUGUUUUCACCAUUAUUCGUUGGUCAUUCACCUCCCUGUAGUCAUUCAUAUUUUGACCAAAGAUGGAGGCAUAACCUCUCGUCUGACCCAGCUGAGGAGGGAAAGGAAUGUCAUGUGGAAAUGAAGGUAGCUCUUCUUCUUCUUCUUCCUCCUCCUUCAUGCAGGUGUCUCUGCAACAGUCAUUGUUGUUCUGAGCUACUUUUGGCCUUUGCAGCUUACUUUAUCUUAAGAGAACUUUAUUUCACAACAAGUGUUACCUAAGCCACAGUUUUCCUCUCGUUCAAAGGGUCCAAAUAACACAAAGCCAAGCCACAUUUUGGGGAAGGAGCUAGACGGAUCCAAAUUGAGGCCGAUCCCAAGUUCUCAUUCAUAUUUUGCAUGGAAAGGUGUUGCUCUUUGUAGUGCUUUGUCUAUAGUCAGAGAUUCUAUCUCUUUUAAUGAUGUUUGAAGAAUAUACUGUUGUACACGUAUAAAGGAAGGGCAACAGGAUUCCCAAUUGUUUGGCAAUCUAUGGUAGAGCCUCUAAAGCAACUACUACCAGGAGACGGGACUGGCUAUCAAACCGUUUCUGGGUGAUCUGCUCCGACAUCAGGGGGUGAAUUUUGUACUCGUUUUGGCAAGUAGUAAAAAAGGAAACCAAUUCCUUUCCCACCAAACAAGCAAGAGGUAUAAACAAACUACCAACGUGCCAUAAACUCCCAAAUGAAUUGCAAAAGAAAACUAAGUUUGAUUCCCCAAAAUGACACCUUUUCUUCCACAACACGAAAUGCUAAAACAGGCAGGCAUCUUUGGAACUAAAAGAUGAUUGAAUCCUUUCUUCCACAACACGAAAUGCUAAAACAGGCAGGCAUCUCUGGAACUAAAAGAUGAUUGAAUCCAUAGUCAGAGGAACAAAGAUUCACCUUAAUGUACCCCUUCUCGAGAAGGAAUUGAGCCACCCCGAGAUGGUAGGGAAACAGUAAACCAGCCGCGGAGAAACUGAACCCUGGGCUCGUAACCUUCUUUCGCUCCUUCUCGGCCUCCACAUCCUUCGACCUCUGCUCCCAGAUCACAUCUCCAUCGACCGACUCCUCCACCACAGAGCCGUUCGAACCCCCUCUACCGUCAACAUAGACCUCCGCGUCAGGGGGCACGGCGACGAAAGCUGAGCCCCUGCUCCUGACGAGCAACGAUGCGAGGCCCAAGAAGAGCUCGCCGGUGGCCACGGCGAACGACUUCUUCUCGGGGGGCAGGGACGGGGGCAGCGGCGGUGGUGCCUCGGGUUUGCCACGGCGGCCUUCAGCCCGAGCGCGAAAGCUGAGGCGGGCGGGCGCCGAUCGAGAGUGGAGAGGGUUGGAGAUAGGGUUCGUAAGGAAGGAGCGGCCCCGACGGUGGCCGUCGGCCCGAGGGCGGAUGCUGACGCGGAGCGGCGCCAAUCGAGUGGUGGCGAUGGAGUUGGUGAGGGAGGAGGGGAAAGGGGAGCAGGAUUUGGGAAGGAGGGAGGAGAAGGCCAUGAGGAUGAGCAAGGCGAGGAGGCUUCGGCCUUCAAACAAGGCACCGCUCGCUCCACCUCCUCCCCGCCGCCUGCUAUUUAUAUACGUACGGGGAUACGGAGGAGUUGGGAUCCUGUCCAAGCAUUACUAAUCCAAUAAUGUUGCAAUACUACAUCCUAGCCGUUCCGAUCGCCAACCCUCUAACAUCCAAUCGUUCAUUACGGGUCACAUUAGUUCCCUGGGCGCUGAACUGGUGGGGCUCACCGUAAUCGACCAAUGACGUGAAAGACAUAUUGGCUGAGACGUUUCCUUCCUUUGACCUCAAGAUCAUGUUUAUAGAAAAUAAUUUGAUCUCAGUAGUGUGUUAUGUAUAAAAUAAAAUAAAAGUAAUUAAAAUUACUAAAUUAAUUUGACCAACACUUGUAUUAGGUGUUCUUAAGUCAGCCUCCAGUCCAAGGUCAGAAAAGUCAACUCCAUGUCUUCUCUGUGAAAAAUGUGCUGAAAUGGAUGCUGACUAGGCACGACCAACAUGUUAAUCCUCCACGUGUCCCUUUAGGCAUAUCAAAUGGUUCUCUUCGUUUGAUUAUUUUAUUUACUUUAAAUAAAAAAGAAAUAUUAUGACAAUUAAUUUGACCUAAGGAGAUUAGAUAGUCGACAGGAUCCAUAUAUAUGACACAACUGCAACAAUUUUUGGCAGGCAUUGUUGCUGCUUUCACUUAACGUGAUUGAUACAUUAAUCAUGCAAUUUGUCAUACUGUCAACAUCAAUUCUUGUGCCGGUUAAUAAGAUCGAUAAACAUGAAUAAUAGGCACAAAUAUUAGGUGAAAUGAUACAUGUUAAUUAGUUCUGACAUCUCUCUCUCAAGCCAAUAGUUUCACCACUUGUGAUACUUAGGACCAGAAGAACAGAAACUUGUUAGUUAUCUUAAUAAGAACCCAUGUCGUGAGAUUGGUAUCUCAAAUGCUGCCAUUCUUUCUCCCCUGGCAAAUCCAUUGCGAUCGUAAGAUGAUAUUUCGAAAAUAUUCAAAUCCUUGCAUGCUUUGAUGAGCUCCUCCCCGACCUUUCGAGCGGCUUCCUGCAGCCAAACCCGAGCACCAUUAUAAGAAACCCAUCAUGCAAACUGAAGAAUUUUUGGUAAAAUUAAGUUUCUGGUACCAUUGUUAGAAUGACAAACUUUUUUAAAAAUUCUAAGAAAAUUUGCACAGAUAGAUUGCCACAGUACAUUAGUAAACUACCACGACAGCCAGCCUAAGCAACUGCUUUGAUGCCAAAGUAGUACCAGUGAAUGAAAAGGCAGAGCAUAUAAAAAGGAACUUACCAUCAUAACCUUUAGGCUUUAAUAGAACAUGUAAAACUCCAUGCUGAAACUUUCUAUAAUAAAUGCUGUAAAGAAGUUGAUACUUGCCAAAGGACGACCUUACAGGUUUGCAAAUGAUUGACAAGUGAUCCACCAUGCAACAUAACCUAGCUAUUUUGAGUGUGUGUUUUGUCGUACAGAUUCAGCAAUUAUAUAUAGAAGUUUAAAAAACAUGUUGGAAGUAGUGGAGUCAUGAAAUGUUGGUUCCCAGGUGACAUGAUCAACAAGGUUCUGAAGCACAUGAAAACCACUAGUAAGUACUAUCCAGCUAAUUUUUUAGCAGUGAUCCGCAAUCUGCAACAAAAUGUCGAUAUCAUCCACCACGUCAAUUGCAUAUACUGCACAUGAAACCUACUGUUUGUCAGUAUAAAAAAUGAUCAGAUGUAUCUUUAGGUUCUGAGGCACACAUAAAAGCUGUACUAAUUCAAAACAAAUAUCCACCACAUCACAUGGAUAUGGUGCAAAAUGAAUCUACUGCCUAUUGGCACAAUACCACAAAGCGACCAAAGUUUGCUCGAUUUAAUCGUAGAGGAGUUGCAAAAGGCAAAGGCCAAUCAAGCUAUGUCACUAAUUCCAAUCCAAUUAAUUGAUCUCUAAGGAUCCUAAUAAGAUUAUAAUACAAAUUAGACAGACAAUUUAGCUACCAGAUCUUUGUAUUUAAAAACUCUUUUGAUGAAAUUUUGAGGGAUGACAAAAAUAUUAAAAAAGAAAUUGCCCCAUAAGACCUCUUUAUAUAUAUAUAUAUACAUAUAUAUAUGUAUACAUACAUACAUGUAUACAUACAUACAUGUAUACAUACAUACAUGUAUACAUACAUACAUGUAUACAUACAUACAUGUAUACAUACAUACAUGUAUACAUACAUACAUGUAUACAUACAUAUAUGUAUGUAUGUAUACAUAUAUAUAUGUAUAUAUACAUAUAUAUAUAUAUAUAUAUAUAUAUAUAUAUAUUUAUUUAUGUAUGUAUGUAUGUAUCUUUAUGCAAUUAAUUUACUAGUAAUUCUUCUCUCUUGUUUUUACUUGGGAGGAUCAUAUCUUAUCACAUAUUAAUCAUCAAAUGAUCUCAAUUUAGUUGAUAUCUUUGUCGAAUAAACAACAAAAGAUAUGAAAGUCAACAGUCAUGAAUUAGAACAGAUAAGGAAUGGUGAGGUGCAAAAUUCCUCAAAGGAGAAAAGAGCACCUGCAAUGUUUAGGUUCACUUACUAUACUGGUACAUGGAGGAUCUCCACGAAUGGAUCUUUGCAAUUAAUUUAGUAGUAAUCCUUCUCCCUUGUUCUUACUUGGGAGACAUUCUCUUCAAAUUGGAGAAAGCCCCAUCUGAGGAUCAUAUCUUAUCACAUAUUAAUCAUCAAAUGAUCUCAAUUUAGUUGAUAUCUUUGUCGAAUAAACAACAAAAGAUAUGAAAGUCAACAGUCAUGAAUUAGAACAGAUAAGGAAUGGUGAGGUGCAAAAUUCCUCAAAGGAGAAAAGAGCACCUGCAAUGUUUAGGUUCACUUACUAUACUGGUACAUGGAGGAUCUCCACGAAUGGAUCUUUGCAAUGUGCUGGCAUAGAAAAGAGUCUUCUUGUUUUGAUCAUCAACCAGCAAUGCAUAUAGUUGUUUGUUGGAGCAGAAAACAGAGAGCCUGGGCUUCGUAGCCGAGCCAUUGUACUUUACAGAAGAAACACGCAUCAAUUAGCAGUAAAAGCUUAAACCCUAGCGUAACAAUGAGCCCAAAACUAGUUACAUAAAAGACGGACGAAGAGUUCGAACCUUUCUUUGCAUCCUACGGUUCCUUGUCUUUGCGCUCUCUUUUCGGGAAUCAUUCCUCGCUUCGACCCGAAGUAAUGGCAGGGAGGACGCUGCAGAAGCAAUGAAAUUUCAAUAUUAACCCGACGAACAUCACAAUGUACACUUUACACGAUCAGAAAACUUACGGGAAUGAUUGGGAAAGGCGAGGUGAAGACUACCACAGAACCGGAUCCUAAAUCCUUGGGAGAGCGUUGACGGCAGCCCCAGUGAGUUCCCCGUUGUGGAAGGAAGCAGCCGAAGAGCCAUCGCUCACUCAAGCAAGCAAUUGCUCUGUGCGGAAUAUUACCAAACGGUUGGUCUGCAGCCAAUGCCGGAAUGUCGCUUUUCGGAUUGCCAUAGAUAGCAGUGAAAGACAGCCUCGUGCGCACGCAGAAUAAUUGGACUAAAUGGGCUAUAUAUCAAAUAAGCCGAUCAAAAUGGGCCCGAUCUAUUGAGCCGGUCAAAAUUGGCCCGAUCUCAUGAGCCGGUCAAAAUUGGCCAGAUUGACUGGGCCGGGCGAUUGUCCUGACGUAGACAUGAGAACGCGGAAGCUAAAUGGACGGCCAUGAUCUUCCCAUGCAACGCUCUCGGCCACGCCUAGGAUGCUCAUGUGAUGAUUGAUUACUCUCUCUCUCUCUCUCUCUCUCUCUCUAUUAUCCAUAAAAUUUUUCCUUAGUCAUGACCUUUGUGAUCAUCUUUCUACAUUCUAUGAAGCAAAUUAAGAAGGGGAGGGAGGGAGAGAUCUAAAUUAUAUUUAAAUUUAAAGUUUUCUGAAUUGUUUACUACCUAAACAUUUCAAGGCUAGCAAUUGUCUAUGUUUGAAAUUUUUGCAUGGGCUUAUUAUGUUUAAUUUUUUUGUGGUAGAAAAAUUUUCCAUCUACUGAUCUUAGCAACUCAUUUUGUGGAUCGGAUUCGAUCUGAACUAUGUUAAUGAAUUAUACUUUAGCAAAAAAUGUUUGUGGAUGAUUCAUGCAAAACUCUGACUCAAAUCCUCAUCAUCAUCAUCAUUAUCAUUCAGAAUCUAAAGAAAUAGUUUUAUUAUGAUAUGUCAAUUGUUCACCCUUGACUUCAUUUGCCAUCCCACAAAUUCUAAUAUUAUCUCUCUACACAUGCAUGCAUGUGAAGAGGAAACUCAGAUGAAGAAGACAAAAAGAAAACAAAAAUUAUAGAAAGAGAAUUGAUGAUGCUCCUCCCACAUGAUCUUGGAAUCUCCUUCCAUUGGAUUACAUCUGCAUGGGUCUUAGGAUCCUCUCACCACCCAGUGCAAAGAGACAGCCAAUUAUGAGCCACCAUGAAUGCCCCAACAAUAAUAUAUAUCCAUCAAUGACCACUGGAAAAUAAUUGGCUUCUUCCUCAUGCAACUGUUGAUCUGUGCAUUUGCUCUCAUGUCACCAACUCCUCAGGAACAGAGACUGACUUAAAAAGGGGUGGUCUAAGAGAGGGAAAUGGGAUGAUACAGGCAGUGUCGUGCUGUGCUGCACUCAUGCAACUUCUUCCUCUGCAGUCUUUGUUUAUUGAUUGAUUCCAAGGAAAUUAUUCUGCAUGGCACAUGUGCACAUGAAUGGGGACAUCCAGUCAAACAAGGAGCAGCAAUCUCAGCUGGUUUCUAAUUAGUAUUCAUCUCUUGAUUUGGAUCAUCUGUCACAGGCUUAUUUGGAGCUCUAUUUCUCUUGGUUGAUGUGAUUUCCCAGACACUGACAUCACCACCAAAAUGAGAAUAAGAACACUAGUAAUGUUAUUUUUGACUUGAUAAUACAGAAGUUCAUCAAAAGAGAAAGAAAAAGUGACGAUUAAAGCACAUAGACAAUACCAUAUAAUUCAGUAGUAGAGCAUGGAAAGUUGAUGUAAUUUCUGAUUUGUAUGGUCAUUUUAUAUUCAGAUAUAUUCUGAUCGACCAACUCUUUUAUGAUUGCCACCAGCUCCCACGGAGUGCAGUGUAAACCCAUACAUGCAUGCUGUCUUUGUCCUUCUCCUCUGUGUUAUCUCUCCCCCCAAGACUUGGUACAGUAGAGAGAGAGAGAGAGAGAGAGAGAGAAGAGGUGGUCAGGAGCAUGGAAGGUGCUCAUCUCCACGCAGCACUUUCCACAGCUCAUUUUAACGUACGUCUCCCUCGAUGCUUACACUGGUGUUUGCACUGCAGGCAAUGUCUCCACCACCGUGGCCAUCUACAUCGACCAAGCCUGCGAUCUGCUGUCGGCCUUGGCGACCGCGGAAGUGUUGAACAGAGCUGCGACGGCGUGGGCCGCAGUGAGGGCGGCGGUGGUGGUGCCGUCGAUGAAGGCGGCAGUCGUAGUGUGCUUGGCCAUGUCGGUGAUGCUGGUAGUUGAGAAGCUGUCGAUGGCCCUUGUCGCCCUCUACGUGAAGGUCUUCGGGCGCACGCCGGAAAGGAUCUACAAGUGGGCGCCAUUGUCGCAGGAUGUCGAGCUCGGCUCUCUGGCCUAUCCUCUGGUCCUCGUCCAAAUCCCCAUGUUCAAUGAGAGGGAGGUAACUUAAUCUGCACAUUUAGCCAUCAUAAACAUUCUAUCUAUCAAAACAUCGAUGCAAAUAAUUGAAGCAAAUUGUACCUGGAACAGCUCGUUUUGCAUAGAUAGAUCGUAAUAGAUGGAUGAAAUGUAUUAGAAAUCCUCUGACAAGAAAGGAAUGUAAGUUCUAUGUAGAGUGUAUCCUUCAUAGGAAAGUUAUGAAGGGGAAUAAUAUCUGCAUGCAAACCAGGAAGCAUCAGAAAUUGUAUGAUAGAUGUAGAUGUGAUCAAAAUACUCACAUUGGAAAACUAUGAUUUUUCUCUGAAAAAAGAAUGUAAACUCUGUGCAGCUAUUCUGGUGCAGGAAAGCUACAAAGGUCUCACAAAAAAUAUACAUCACACUCCUAUCUCAAAUUCUCAAAAUAUCGCAAAAAAGAUCGAGCAAUCAAGAUUAAAAGAAAAGUGGAAUGAAUGAUUUUGCAGGAACCCUGUAUCAUUCUGCCUGUGUUUCUACUUUGAAUAAGAAAUAUCAUAAAUCAAUCUGAUCAAACAAGCAAAUGAUUGACAUUGAGAGUUGAAGUUGGAUGGAUGAUUUUGGAGGAACAUCUUAUAACUUUCCCAUAUAUGAUACCCUACACAUAAUUUGCAAUCUCACAGACUUUAGGUGUUGGACAUCAAGUGCAUAUAUCUCAGUGCACUCACUACAUUCAUGUGAUAGAUGGUUUGAUGGAAUCUCUUUAGGAACAUAGUUCACAAGUCUGUGAGAUAGUGUGCAAGGUGUGAGGGAAUGGAAGAAUGAGAUCUGUUCAAUCCAUCGCAUUCUGCAGAAUAUAGAACAGAGUUGGAUCCUUCACUCACUACUCUAGGGUUCAAUGCUUUGUGGUUUUAGAUGCUACUAACCUUUUGAAAAGAACAAGCUGUCUAGGUGGAAUGGAUCACACUGAAAUGUUUCUGAUAAACUUAAAUUGUUUGAGAUUCAGUCAACUUACAAUAGCAGAUUUCUGAGGUCAGCUUAACAAAGAAAACAUCAUAGUAGUGGCAACCAAGUGGAGUGCAUUAUGGAGGAUUGCUCUGAUCAUAUACUAUUGCAAAGUCUCUAAUGGUGCACCUUUAUCUUAUAUGAGGAGUUCAGGGCUACUGUGCUUCUUCCUUGUCUGACCCAGCCACUCCUUGCUCCAUGUGAUCAUUCUCAUUUUUUUUUUAAUCUUAUAUGUAUGUGGAAGGAUUACAAUAUCUUUUUGAUGAAUUCUUCUAGCAGUUUCAGUUUUCUUCUCUAGCUCUUUGACUGUAGAUGCAGGCAGAAUCCAGCUCUUGUUCUUUACUCAAAAUGGCCAAAUCUCACUGCUCAAUUCUCUAUCAUUUCAGGGAGUCAGCUGUUCCUAACAUUUCUUUUUCUCUCUACAGUCAGUGAAUUUGGUGUCUUGGAGUACUCGAUCCAUUUAACACAUCUCCCUCCCUCCCUCUUAAAAGUCACUUAUCUGCCAGCUAAAGAUAUGUCAGUGUGCUGCCAACUCAUGGCAUUCUGGAAGACAGUGGACAUUAAAGCUAAGCUAAGGAUUGCCAUUCAGGUGUCACUUUGAAGAAACACAAAUGAGAUCAAGUUCAUAGAAAAAAGGAUAAUACAUAAAGGGAUUAAUGACUCCAAUAAGAAACAUGUUUUGGAAAACAACAUGACAAUCAUUAUGCACCAUUAAGCAUCAAAAUUAGGAUAAAAAGAAAAGGUCCAAUUUUUGCUCUUUAUAUACUACUUUAUCUACAUGCUUGUGCAAUAUAAUACUUCCAAAUUUACUUUCCACAUUUAGAUUCCAAUUCUUUGUUUAUCAAGGUUUUGAGGAAAUAUUCCCAUGUUGUUCUCUGAGUGCUCUAAUGAUGUACAAACUGCAUUUUGCAGGUUUACCAGAUGUCAAUUGGAGCAGUGUGCAUGCUGGAAUGGCCAUAUGACAGACUCAUAAUACAAGUUCUAGAUGAUUCAACAGACCUAAAAAUUAGGGUUAGGUUUCUUGCAAUAAAUUGAAACAUGAUCAAUGUGACAUUGUGAAGAAAACUUACUACACUCUUUCAAUUUGAAGAAUCUCUUUUACUCAUCAAUAACCAGUAGUAUAUUUGCAACACAUUUUGAUCUAUUCUGUGGAUUUAUACAUUAAGGUGGAGAUAAAUUGAGCUUGUUCAUACCUUGUUCCAAAUGAAAACAUAACUAGCAGUCAAAAAGUUGCAUUUCUGAUGCAUCAUAAAUGACUAUGUCAUCUGAUGAAAUCAUCUUUUCUUUGUUUUUCUCUUUUUCAAGAGAGCUGUCAUCCAUCUUCAUCAUGACAUCAAAUUACACUUUCAGACACCUGCACUGCAAAUGAAGCACAAUCAGUAUGUUUUGGAGAAUGACAUGAAACCUAAUGAUGUGCAGGAACUGGUGCAAGAGGAAUGUGAGAAAUGGUCUAAGAAGCGAAGGAACAUACAUUACAUAUCAAGGGACAACAGGAAUGGGUAUAAAGCUGGUGCCCUGAAAGAAGCAAUGGAUCUCGACUAUGUGAAGAAAUGCGAUUAUGUCGCGAUAUUUGAUGCAGAUCAUGAGCCUCCAUCAGAUUUUCUUAUGAGAACCAUCCCUUUCCUCAUCCAUAAUCCCGAAAUCGGUCUUGUUCAAGCACGUUGGAAGUUCGGUAAGUUUAUGAAUCAAGAACAGCAUGCAUUUGAAGAUGCAAUUCAUGUUAAACAAAGUUUAAGCUGACACUGGAGAUUCUUUUCAUUGCACUCGAAAGUUAAUGCCAAGAUGAUGACUGACUUCUCUGCAGAGAAUGCCAAUGAAUGUGUAAUGACAAGGAUACAAGAGAUGUCAUUGAACUACCAUUUCAAAGUGGAACAACAAUCAGGUUCUUCAACUAUGGCAUUUUUCGGAUUUAAUGGUAAGUUUACCCUGUUUUAGGUUUUAUGAUUGGUAAGUAUCACUGAAUAUUCAGCAUACUGCAAUUGUAAGGAAAUAAGAAUAAUAUUCAAAUGUUAAUUAAACUGACAAAAAUCCUUACAUUGCAUCAAGAACAGUUAAUUUCAUAUUUUAACCAUUAUAGUCUACCAUGAAACAAGCUCACAUGAAAAGCCUUCUAAACAGUAUCAGGAUGGACAAUGCAGCAUUUUCGUUUAGGUCUUAUACUCUCAUGCAUAGUAAAAUAUGUGGCUAAACGAAUAUAAAAUCCAUGCUGAGCUUAAAUUAUACCAGUCAUAAGUAUUAUAUCUCUACCCAACUUAUGAACAGUCAACAAGCAAGAUAAGUAAUCAACCACCUUCUAAUCUUUGUAUCGAGAUAGCCAGGACGUGCAUAAUUUGAGGUUUCUAGCAUGAUUCAUUGACAUGGUCUACUGAUUUCCUUCUUUUGCAUUAGGAACUGCUGGUAUUUGGAGAAUUCUAGCUAUUAGUGAAGCAGAAGGUUGGAAAGAGAGAACUACAGUUGAGGACAUGGACUUGGCUGUUAGAGCAACACUUCAAGGCUGGAAAUUUGUAUAUAUUGGAGACCUUAAGGUUUGUGUUUACUCGUCAACCUCUAGCUAAACUAGCAAUUCCAAAGUGAUGCAUGUAUAACAAGAGACAGAAUUGUGCAAAACCUACAAGAACAAGGCAGCAAACUCCUUUCUCUGUGACAGAAUCUAUCCACUCUGAAGCAUGGAAAUGGAUAUGGCACAAUGCAGAUACUCCAUCAUAAUAAAUAUUCAAGAAGCAGAAAAUGCACAAAAAAAAGCGAAAAAAGAAAAGAAUUUGUAUCACUUUUGUCUUCAGAAGUUGCAAGUGCAAGACCAAUAAGAUUUUACAGUCUCCUGCACGCUAUAUAUUUUUCUUUAGAAAAUUAAUCUGUCAAUGACAUCAAAUUGUUAAUAACGUACUUGAUCUUGAUAUUGGUUUUCUAGGUUAAAAGUGAAUUACCAAGCAAUUAUAAAGCCUACCGUUAUCAGCAACAUCGUUGGGCUUGCGGACCUGCAAAUUUAUUCAAGAAAAUGACAACAGAGAUAAUAAUGGCCAAGGUUAGCUCUUAUUCUUAGUUGUUCACUUCAAUCCACUGAUUAUGAAGUUAUGAGUGAGCAUCAUACUGUGCAAGUAUGCAUAGCUUGAUUAAGAACAGAAAUCACAUAAUGAACAGUUGUUGCCAGAUUCUCAGUGAAGCCUAAAGUUUUGUGUCUCAUUUUGUUUGACUUCUCUUUCUCUACAGAAAGUGCCUUUUGUGAAGAAAUUCUUUUUGCUCUACAACUUCUUCUUGGCAAGAAGGAUUUUAUCCCACAAUGUGACUUUCUUCUUCUACUGCAUCAUCAUUCCAGCAUCUUCAUUUUUCCCUGAAGUUGUGAUUCCAAAAUGGGGGGUGUUCUAUAUCCCAAUAGCCAUUACCCUUCUCAAUUCAAUUGGAACCCCAAGGUCUGACACUUUUCCUAUGUAAUUUCUUUUGCACUUGAAAACAUCAUACGCAUCUUGAUCAAAUCAUUCUCUUUUCACAUUUUUUAUUUCUCAUCAUUUUGACAGGUCUUUACAUCUAAUUAUCAUCUGGAUAUUCUUCGAAAGCGUCAUGUCCUUGCAUCGAUGCAAAGCAGUCUUCAUUGGUCUGUUUGAUGCAGGGAGAGUAAAUGAAUGGGUUGUCACAGAGAAAGCAGGGAAUGCAUCAAAGACUAUACAAACUUCAACAGCUGCUAAGAAAUGUCCAAACAAGUUCUGGAAAAGGUAAUUCUGAUGACAAUUAUUGGACAAAAACUUGGUCUAAAUCCCUUUCAGGGAUGUUUAACCCACCCCUUGUUCUUUUUGCUGACAGGUUUCAUUUCUUAGAACUGGGGAUGGGAGUACUCCUCUUGAUAUCUGCAUGUCACAAUUGCAUCUUCAGAACAAACCUAUAUUUCAUAUUCAUCUUCCCUCUAUCUCUGUCCUUCCUCACAAUGGGCUCUGGUUUUGUUGGUACUUAUACUGCACAGCAAAGUAGCUGAACACAGCUUGGGCAUCACAGUUGUCCACCAUUUCAUCCUAUCUCCACAGAUUCUUUUGUGUCACUAAUGAUUCAUGUACUAUCCUUUAUGAAUAAGAGGGACAGUCAAGCACCACCCUGGAGGAGGAGAAUUAAACUGAUUCCAUACUGAACAACUGCACUAAUGACUGAAAAAUGUAGCAGGCAGAAGGAACAUAUAGUCAUGUACAUCGAGGGCAAGUUUAGGCCCCUGUUCUCUUAAAAGUAACACAAAGCAGUUACACCAACCAAAUAGCAGUGUAAAUGUUCAGUUUAGUAUAGAUUUUUGUUCAUCUUGUUUUCCCUUGAUGACUUGCUGAAGAAGUGACAUACUGUUGAAGUUUUGCAGCUCAUGCUCUCUCAGUCACUCUCUCUCUAAAAAUGAGAGAACUCUAUUUCCGUUUCUCAAAACAUUGGAUGUGAAAAGGCAGACAUAUUUAUCAAUUUAGCAGGUACUGGACCACAUUGCAACAGUCAACAUAAAAUGAUGCAUUUGAGUGUCUAAUUAUCCUUGCAGAUAUAUUGAGAGCUUUAAGAUUUCUUUCAGACGAGGAUAGACAGAUGCAUUCCUGGUUGGAUUUAAGAUUUAGAAUACUAUGGAAACCCAAAAAUGAUGAUAAUAUUCAAAUCAAAUUACUUCCUUUCUCUUUUCUUUUAUUGAUAACUGUAAUAAUCAAUUUGAAUAGCACAGUGUAAUCAAAUAUUUGAUUCCACAAAAAAUUAUAGAAAAUGUACGACCAAAUACACUAUAGACUCCAAAAUGAUUCUCGGUUUGCCGAUACAGGAAUUAUCGGUUUCUUGAAUAAAAAGCACAUUAUGAGGAUUAAGCAUGCUACGAAAUACAAUACCAAAAAGGAUAAAUCAAAAUAUACAAAUCUGCCCAGAAAGCAUGUAUGUUUCAAAGGAAAAAUGAUCUCCCGAGUUGUUUAGUCAUUGGAUUGAUUCCAAAAGAAGUGUCCCGCAUUGUGAUUGUUCUCUUUACUUGACUCCAAGCAAUUCGAAAAGAGAACAAUCACAAUGCGGNNNNNNNNNNNNNNNNNNNNGCGGGACACUUCUUUUGGAAUCAAUCCAAUGACUAAACAACUCCAAUUCGAUUCUUUCGAGAAAUGAAACAAAAUGUCUGCCGGAACAAGAAGAACAACACUACUUUUUCGCCUAUCGGUGCUCAAGAACCAUCCAAAAGUAAUCUUCCUUUUUCUUGGAAAGGCAAAAAGCAAACCUUUUUCCCUAAUCCAACGCCCAACAAAAAGAAACAGAAGCCAAAUCGAUCAAGAGGACGGAGACCGCCCAAAGACGCAUCCGCUGGUGAUGAAGAAGGGUCUUCCCACUCACCACACUGUCGGGAGAAGACGUCGAAGGUGUCAAACAGCGGCGGUGCCGACGAUUCCAUGGGUCCAAUCGCCUAUGGUUUCCGGAAGAAUCAUCUCGAAAGCACAAAGACAGACGGGACCGACAUCGGGAAACGAAGCACCGAAAGCGCCCGAUCUUUUCGUCUUCUACUGGGAGCCAAUCUGACGUGUAGCUGCAUCGUUUUUCCACGUGUCCAAUAAUGUCAUUCAUCAUUUUUCCACGUGUAAUAAUGGGUUUUUAUACGUAGUGAUAGACUCAUGGGAUAUAUUAUUUACAUAAUAUAAUAUGCAGCGACGGCCGACGAAUGAUUAGAAAAAUAUCGGUGCCGACGCGAACACGCAAACGACGAAAGAUACCCAACGCUUCCGCGUGACGUGCCGCGUUCUGAACCAGACGUCUACGUCGGCCCCGCGCGGCGACUGCGGGCCCCUUCGUCGUCCUGUGGCCGCCGCCUCUCGCAUACACACCUGGUAUUCCACCCGGGUAAAGGUUCCAGAUCUUUCCACGGACUUUCGCCAGCCCACCAUAUCAAAUCCCUCGUUUCCUCUCCCCAGUUCUUCGACCUUCUCGGCGAUCUCGAUCGAUGGCGGCGGAGGCGGAGGCGGAGGCGGAUGCGGAAAGCGUACUUGCGCGCUUCGAGGAGCUCCUGCGGAGGGCGGGUGGCGACGAGCGGCGGGAGAUCGGCUUCUUCCCCGUCGUCUUCGCCGUGGUUGGCGCGCCUGCCGCGGAGGGGGCAGCGCCGGGGCUGGAGCGGGUCGUCAUGUUCAACCCGCUCACCCGCGGGGUGGUCAUCCUACAGGGCGACCCGGCGCUGCUCUCCGAGCUGAUCUCCCCAGAGCCGGCGGCCGGCGGCGGAGGCCCUCCGCCGGCCUCCAAGGCCUCGAUCGAGGCGUUGAGGACGGUGGAGCCAGGCGAGGAGGACGCGGGCGAGGAGUGCCCCGUGUGCCUCGACGGGCUGGGGGGCGGCAGGGGGGCGGCUUCAGAUGAGGGCGCGGUUCCGCCGUCGGUGAGGGAGAUGCCGUGCAGGCAUCGGUUCCACGGCGGGUGCAUCGAGAAGUGGCUGGGGAUGCACGGAUCCUGCCCGGUGUGCAGGUACCAAAUGCCGGCGGAGGAGGGAGAGCCAAAGACGAUAGGCGACGCCGGAAGGGAGAGGACGAGGGAGCUGAUCAUUACGGUAGCAUUUGGAAGAAGGGAUGAAGGAAUCAAUGAACAAUAAGAUCAAGAACAAGAAGAAGAAGGAAUCAAUGUACAUAGAUAGUGAUUGGGGAGGUGAUGAUUGUGGAAGAAACUAUUCAUUUGUCUUAGUAGGACUCUUCAUUCAACAUAGUGCCUUCAAUUUUUUUUUUGCUCUAAAGACUUGGACUUGGUUGAAGAUAAAAAUCUGAGGUCGAAGACAAUCUAAAUCCAUAUUUGGAUAACCAGAUGAGAUCAAAGACAAAAGUUUCACUUGAUAUGCUUCCACUGCUUUGCGCUCAAAACUGCAGUUCUAUUGUGGUACCUGUUGGCGUAAACAACUUUAAGCUGUGGUCUCGGGGCCGACGCGGCUUAGUUCGGGUCCGGAUGGUGGGGGAUCUCCCUGGUGCGUUCCUCGAGACUAUUGAUGUGGCCAGUUGCAGUGUUCCGAUCGGGACGGGGUCGUCUUUUCCACCGGGAGAGGACUCCCCGCCUACGUCUUUAGUGGACGACAUUCGUCUUCGCACCUGCACAAAGGUCGGGUCGGGGCGCUCGACCCAACCCCUCCGACGAUCAAGUUAGAGGGUAGUUGUGGGGGUUUCUUUAGCUAAGUUCUCCUCUCUCUCUCUUUUCCUUCGGAGUGCGAGGGUUUUUAUAGUGAGAAUUACCGUUGUCUAAUGUGCUGGCCCGCAAGGAGCGGGAUCGUACUUCUGAUAGCGUCUGACGUUGCCGUUGGCAUGGCAUGAGGGAUCGAACCUGAACAGGGCGUUAAUACGCCUUGAUAGACGUUCAAGUCCACGUUGACCAGGUGCCUCAUCAAGUCAACAGAGGCGUGAUGCGUCAUCUGGUGCAGCUGAUGUCACACGAGUCUUAUCGCAAUUAUUAUCCUCAUCAAUACCACUAUUGUCCUCCUCAUCAGUUCUCAUCACACUGCAACUUCAUAUUCCCAGCUGUGGCAACAAUUUGAGGAUAUCUCACAGCAUCAAAAUGCAUAUAAAUUCAUUAUUUAUGUAUUGAUAUGAAUAAAUGAGGAAGAACAUUAUCAUUUAAAUAUUAUAAUUAGGAGAUGAAAAGCAAUACUAUCAUUUAUAAAGAGAGAUAUUAAAAAAAUAUAUUACAUAUUAUAAAUGAAAAUUCAAAUACUCCUUAAGACAGACAACAUAGUAUAAAAGAUUGAAGCACCUUUUUCUUUUAGAGCAAAGGUCAGAAGCUUCCUCCAAAAAAUGAUAGAUGUUGCAAACAAAAGCUGCACUCAAGAAGCUGCACUCAAGCAAAGGUCAGGUUCUUGAUACAACAUGUGCACAAAUAUAUUCAACAUCAUAGUAGAAAUAUACUAUCACUUAAAAUAGGUUGAUAACUCAAUUCACUAAGGUAUUAAAAUAUCGAUUAUACUUUUAAAAUAUAUAUAUAAAAAAAUAAGAUUAUUUGUUUACGACUCGAAGAGAUAAAAGUUCGUAUCAUCCUUGUAUUUAGAUAUAAGACUAUGUACAUUAAACUUACGGGCCGGCACUAGUAAUACCCUUUUUUUUACGCUUAAAUGGUGUUCAAAUAACUCGAAAAUAAGAAAUUAGUCAUCAAAACAAGAAAGAGAUUUAGAAAAGAAACCCACUUGAAUGAUAAACUUCAAUUAUUCUACAUAAAUAUGUCAACAUUGAUAUCCACUCACAAGAAAAAAAAAGGUAUUUGACAUCUUUUUGAAAGAAGCACAAGCUUUGAAACUAUUUCAUGAGAAACUAAUAAUCCUUUCUGAAAAGAAAGAUAAAUAAUUCUUUCCAGAAAAUUUGAGACAGGAGGCCAUAUUCUUUAAUUCUGUCAAGUCAUCAUUUCAAUAGGAUAAAUAAGCAUAAAAGAUCAUAAAAUUAAACAUACAUAAAUGUGCCACCUUUGCUUUUAGAAAGUACCCACUAGCAAAAAAAAAAAGUUGGGAAUCUUCAGGAGAGAAAGUAGAAAUUUGGAAACUAUUUCACUGACUACCAAAAAAAAAAAAAUAUUUUUACAUAUCUAUCAUUUUAAAUUUUAGAAAUAGUGUAUUGCAUAACCAUCCAAAAAUUUAUAUUUUACAUGUGUAUUUAAGUAUAUUAUAUAUGUUCCUCCCAUUCAUAUCCAUCCAAUAAAUUCAAAUCUACUACUUCCAUGAUUCAUUUGACACCUUUCAUAUUUUAAUAUUUUUUCAAUAUCAUUAUACUAAAAAUAUAUGAUAGAGAUAUAUCUAUAGGCUUUUGAACUUAUAUGACAAAUAUAUUCACAUGCUUAACUUAAUUUUAGAGGGAUAAAUAAAAAAAUCAUUAAGGAUACUAAUGUUAAUCAGAUAUCAAGUGCAAUGAUAUAUGCUAAACUUAAAUUUAGAGAGACAAAGAAAAAAAAAUAUAUAUGUAAUUUUUCUAAAGAAAAGGAGAUAUUGUGAGCCAAUCAAAUAGAGAUGAGAGAGAGAGAGAGAGAGAGAGAGAGAGAGAGAGAGAGCCACCCUUUUCAUCCCCUUUCUCCAUUUGGCCAGUCGGUGAGCCAAUUUAAUGCUGUAAACACUCCAAAGACUGACUUAAUUGGAACACCACAGCACUAUGAAUUGGUCAAACACUGAGCACAAGCAACCCAUUUUUGUGCAGUGAUGGUGGCAAAAGCAAUGGUGGGAUUGGAAGACAAAGGUGAAGAGCAGAAUCAAAUAACGCCACCCCGAUGCCACAAAGGAACUCGUGGCUCAGAAUCCCCUCCUCCCUGCUCACGUGGCCUCCUUCUUCCUCCUUCCCCUUCCUCCUCUGCUAAACCCCGCGACGGCUGAGAAAAGAACACGAGGAGGCGAGCUGAGACAGAGCACUUGAACAGGGGAGACAAAAACAGGGGAGUCCAGAAGAUGUCAGAGAACAGAGAAAGCGCGAUCAAGCUCUUCGGCAUGACGAUCCCCCUGCAGCUUACCAGCAGCGGAGACGACGACGAGGUACUUCUUCUGGCCUGCUCGGUGAUCUUAUAGGUGUGAAUGAUGAUUUGACUUGUGUCGAGAGAACUGCAAAGAUCGGAUUUUUGAGUUCAAAGGUUGCUCCUUUCCUUCACGCCGAGUUUCGGGCAGCAAUACUUGCAUCGAUUGUUGUUGAUCAGCUAGGUUUUUUUAUGGAAAUCUUCGAGAUUUGUCUUUGAUUUUAAUUGUGAGCUGUGAAUUUUUUGAAUCUCGGUGAUGAUCCUCCAUUGAUGUGAGAAUAAAUCACUUUUGUGCUUCGGUCUCAGGAUGUCGACAAGGAAGACGCUACUGCUACAUCACAAGAACCAGAGUCGCAGGACAAGAACGAGUCCGCCACAUGUUCCAGCGAGAUCCAUAAACCAGUUUCCGCCGAUCAAGAAGACGCGUCGUCGACGAAGAACCCCACGAAGACGGCGGCCGAAGGUGUGAAGAAGACGGAGAAGAUCCUCCCUUGUCCUCGGUGCAGAAGCCUCGACACCAAGUUCUGCUACUACAACAACUACAACAUCAACCAGCCGCGGCACUUCUGCCGGAACUGCCAACGGUACUGGACCGCCGGGGGCACCAUGAGGAACGUCCCUGUCGGAGCCGGUCGCCGCAAGAGCAAGCACUCCUCCCACUGCCGCCUCCAAGCUCUUCGGCCCGACACCCACGAACCGGUCCAUUACACCUCUCUGAGGCCAAACGGCACGGUUCUCAGCUUCGGCACGGAUGCGCCGGUGGCAGAGAAGGCGAACGGCUGCAACAAGAACAGUGGUGAUGAGCUGCAACAGGAGAACGAAGGAUCGACCGCUCCAGUUCCUUGUUUCAGUGGAUCUCCCUGGCCGUAUCUUUGGGCGCCGGCUCCGCCUCUCUGUGCUUCGACCUUUCCAGUUGCGUUCUACCCGGCUGCGGCCUACUGGAGCUGGAGCAUCCCAUGGCCGUCUUCCUUACCUCCUUCCUCCCCUAACUACAGAGGAUUAGGAUCCAGUUCUACUGCCUCAGGCAAGCACUCGAGGGAUGCAAGCAUGAUCGAGAGCAGCAUUCACAAAACACCGAGGAGGAUCGAUGACCCGGAAGAAGCCGCAAAGAGCAGCAAGAUCGACGCAGUCAGCAACGGAGGGCUCCUCAAGGCCUUCCAGCCUAAGCUAUACGUCAAGAACCAAGUGCUAGAGACACCAUUACUGGUGCAUGCCAACCCUGCGGCACUCUCUCGAUCUCUGCACUUCCAGGAGACCUCUUAGAGCAGCAGAAUCUCUGCAAAGCGAACUCCUAUAGACACACACAGGUAGAAACUGAGUUUGGCCAGGCAGAAACAAGUAUCCUCAGAUUGAUGAGAUGUAACAGUAGGAAUUGUUCUGCUAAGUAUUAUUCUACAUGUCAAUAGGUGAGCUGUGUUAGUGAGAGGUUCAUUUGUACAUCAAUAACUCUUGCAAACUUGAUCGAGAAGAAUGAUAAUGAGUGGCUGCUUGCUUAGAUUCUCCUUUGAUUUCUGUACCUAUUUGGAUAAGCAUCAGUUUAUGUUCUGGAUGCUACAAGAACAGCCAGAAAGAAAUUGGAUCCAAAGCUCAGAUGUCAUAAGAUAUGUCUAAAUAAUAGGCAAUGCCAUGAGUGAGAAGCUAACAAAGAAGAAUCAUGCUGAGAAGAGGACUGAGAGCAUAGUCCACAAGCAAAUUAUCGAAAAUUUAAUAUGUUUGAUUAUUGUUUGUUCAUCUUAUCAGUAGAUAUCCAAAAUAGAUUUAUUUUCCAACAGCCAAAGAGAUGUUUUGGUAAUUGCUACAUAUAAUCAAAUUCGAGUAAUUUCAUAGUAAGGGAGGUAAGUCGGAUUUAGUUGGCUUUUGCAUAACCUCAUUUUGUAAGAGAUACUGAUGAUAUUUAUUUGUUGUGAUAAUUAUUCAUCAAUCAAACUAUAAAAGAAGUAAACACAUUGACAUCCAUUAUUACUUCCUAUAAGAUCUAACGAAGAUUAAAAUUGUUGAUAUAUCAACGAAGCUUAAGUUUUUAGAUUGAAUUCAUACUUAAUCUAUCUUAACUCAUACUUAGAAGAAGCAACUGCAACCACUGCUGAAUGGGGUGAGAGAAAAGGUUGGGAAGAAGACAAUGGCAUAGAUGACAUGAAAGAUUCCUCUUAAUUAGUCCAACUAUUGUCUCAUUGAGGGUAGAGCUGAAUUCCUGUCACAUUCAGCCAAGCAUCUAUCUAUCUUCUGCCAAAAGAUGGAGAAAAGAGAGGAGGGAGAUGAUAAUGGAGAUUUUUCUCUCUCUGUCUCUUGUUUUUUUCUAUAUGCUGUAAUGUUCUGUAAAGAUAAUUGUAUAACAUCACAGGAAAUUGGACUUGAAGCAACCAUCUUCAUUGAAGAAAUAGUUGGAUCCACCAAUUGCUUAGCAGCACAGUUCAUUCCUAUUAUGUUAAGCAUAAUAAAAGAAAUGUUUAAAUACAGUGGAGGAAGAAGAAUUCUCAGUCAGUCAAAGGGUUGAGUCAAAAGUCAGCAGAACAUGAAAUGAAAUGUUCAACCACUUUGAGAUUGUGGUUUCUGUCUCUUGGAAUUUUGGAACCUGACCUAUAUCUUUCUCCAUUUAUCUACUGGUUGACUAUCUUACUCAGGUCACCAUGUUUGACCUUGGCAAGAGUACUCUCACUGUCUUACUCUACAUCAGAUUAAAUGAGGAAGCAAUGGGUGAGUAGGGCAGUGCCUUCAGCAUUAUUGUUAUUGCUGGUAGGCACUCAAGCACUAGCUUCAGUCAACUCCUCUGACCUCUGAAUUAUGGUCAGACAGGUGAAGAAAAUGAUCAGAUAAAUGCAAGAAGUAAUAACCAAUCAUGAUUUGCUGCAAUAUGUCAUUCAUUAUUUAGAAUUCCUAAAUAAUCAAGUCAACUGAAAUAAAAAAAAAUUAUCAAAAAACUUAAGGAUUCAAAAUCUCAUUAAACAAAUUUUAGUACAGUAAUGAUAUGUUCAAAAUCAAAAUUUUGAAUAUAUUAUUUAGCUUAGGUUGAUUGCAGCAUGAUCUUUAAAGAUUUGUGAUAAAGGAUGUCUCCCUGUUUGGCCCCACACUGUGGCCUGUUUUAGGUCAUUGAUCAAAAGAGGUCAGCUUCUUUUUGACUUGAUGAGGUUUCACUUACAAUUAGGACAAAUGCUUUGUCAUCAAGUGAUUGGAAGGUUCAUUUGUGAUUGAAGCACUCAACCUCACAAAGUAGACCACUUUGGCAAAGCAUGGCUGCACUUUCCAUCAAUGGCAGGAUAAAGUUGCAAGCAUGGCUCAAGUGACCUCUCACUGUGGUAACUUAGUGGAAGGAAAAAUUUUGAGAAGAUGGAGCAUGACAAGGGGAACUAUAGAACAAACAAAAUACAAACAACUCAUGCUUUUUGGUGUCUCCUCUGUCAGUGUGGUGUGCAUGCAAACAAAAAGAUAAGAUGGAAGAACAAAGAAUGACCUAAUAAUCAUUGUAAGCUCCAGCGAUUUAAAGUGUUUUGCACAGAUCUUGGCUUGUUUUUUUCCUUUGGAGUCAAAUUUGUAUGACUUGUAGCUUUGAUCCCUGUCUACAUAUAUGCAUACAACUUUAUUUUUAUGUGUAAUACAUACAGGCUGAAGUCUAAUUUGGAAGUAACUAAAAAAUAAUAUUUUUUCUCUAAUUUAAAAAAUAAUAUUUCUUCUCCAAUAAAAUUCUAUUAUAAGAUAUCAUGAAGAAAAAGGAUUAUGUUAAAUCACUGAUAAUACAUACUUUUAAUAUAUCAAUUAUUACUGUCAAAAUCUCGACAAUAGUAAUAAUAUCAAAAAUAUUUAUGUCUCGAAAUCGAUUAUACGAAUGUUUUAUAGUUAUUAAGUUAUGUUACGAUAAUUUAUUAACUCUAUUUAUCAAAAAAUAUUUAUGAUAAUUUGAUUUAAUGCUAUUUAUUUUAUUUUAAAACCAAUCUACCCAACUAUUUUUUUGAUAAAAAUAAUUUAAUCAUUUUAUAUAAAAAAUAGAUAAAUUCUCAAAAAAUACUCCUAAUUUGAUAAAUUUGUGUAGAGCACUUUUCAAAAAUUCUUAUGGUAUGCUUCAUCAUUCGUAAAAAAAAUGAUUUUAUCCCUGCUCUUUUUAUCUUUGGUCACCUCCACGUGUGUUCCCUCCAUCCUUCAUUUAUUACCCUCGUACCCCAUAGCUACAUAUGUCGUCGUCGAUUGUCAUGUCCAUGACGAUCGUAGAGGACAAAGAAGGAUUGUCGAGAAUCACCUCUGCCUUGACACACGAGCCUCUAAUCUUCUCCACAUAGAGGCACUUUGUCCUUGUUCGCCCUUAGCCAUUGCCUUGCAUCGUUAUUCUAUCCUCCCUUCUUUCUCUACCGCCAUCGUCAUCCUCGCUCGCUGUCUCUUUCGUUAGAUACGACAAUAUGAAGAACGAAGAUGACCAACAAAAGAUUAGGGGGAUGAGAUCCCAUAUACGAAGGUACAAAUGAUUAGAUUAGGGAUAAAGAAAAAAAAAUCUAUCUUUUUAAAAGAUUAGGUGUUCUCUAACAAUUUUUGAAAAUAGGAACAUUUCGUAAAAAAUUUCUCAAACCUACCGACUAUUUUUUCAUAAAUUUACCCAAACAGAAUUCUUGGUGGGUAAAAUGAAUAAAAAAACAAACUUCAAAUUUCGAACCAAAGAAGAGAGAGAGGAGAGAGAGAGAGCGAUGAGGUCCUUUUGCUCUCGAUAAGCACCGCCAUCCCUCUCCCUGGUCUCCGACUCCAUCACCGAUCGCUUCCAGUUCUUCUAUCCCUAACUCUAAUCCUGAUGCUCACAGGUUCUCUGCUUAAUACCAGACGCGGGCUUCGGCAGCAGCGAGUGGCUCCAACACGCCGACCUCGCGGAGGCGGCGCCGUCAUCCGCCACCAUCUGGUUGGAGCCUGACACCUGACCCAGACAUGAAUUCGAGACUGAAGCGAAGUUUCAAAUCGAAUCCGGGCUCGGAUUCAAUGCCCUUAUAUCCGGAUUCCUUGGGCGUCGUACCCCUGCCUCGUUUGUUCCCCAUCGUUCCUCGGCCUUUCGGUGUCUACGGUGAUUGCUUAAUCUCCCCAUUCAAGUACGCGAUGCACCGAUCUCUUACUCUAAUUUGCUUCUGAUACUUUUUACUUCAAGAUAUGAUGAUUGCAAGACUCCUAAGACAUCUAAUGUUCUAAUUCUUUUUCUCCCUCGUGUUGUCACUUCUCUUUCCUGUCUACACAGUAUGUUUUGGCAAAAUCUUGGCAAAGAUUCAACCUUUGCAAGACCCUCAUGACAUGUUAUGUUCAAGAUUCUGAUUUUGUUCCUCCGUUUUGCCUCGAGUUGGCAGAACGCUGAGAGAGAUCUAAAUUUUAGUUAUAUAAGCUUCUGAUGAUGUCAAUUAUAAGAAGAUUACAAGAUACUCAUGACAUGUUAUGUUCAGGAUUCUCUUACAAUCCUCUCCGUUUCUUCUUCAGAUUUUAAAAAAGUUUUCAAUUAAUUAGUGAUGGAAUUUUGGAUUCCGAGCAGCAGCAGUAAUUUAAUCUUGAUGCAGCUUGGGAGACCUCCGAUAGCUGCUUGUAUAUGAUUUGAAGGAAGAAGAGAGAAUUAUCACCAUACUUCAUUAUUUGAGAAUGACUUAAGCUCAAGCUGGAAAUGCCGGUCUGCCCUGCAUGAACUUUCUUAGAAUGGCAGCUGUGCCUGUUCUAGAGCGACUACAUUUAGAGGAAAGGCUUCUCAGGACCUCAGCAGACAACUGGUGUAUAGUUAACGAUGGGACAAUUCAUCUUGCUAUAGUUAUGGCUUAUGGGAGUCUCUGGGUCAAAUUGUGUUUCAUAGCAUAUUUAUUUGUUGUUUCCGUGUUCUUUUGAUCUCUUUUGGUGUGCCUAUAACUAUUUAUAUCUCUCUUCUUGCAUGAUAUGGCUACCUAAAGAUUGUGUUUGGGGCUAUUAAAAGAAGACUGACCAUCAGCAUGAAAUUAUAACUUCAGGAGGCCUUCAGAACUAAUUUAACUGAAGUCUGUGCUUCAUGAUCAAAUUCCUGUAAUUAGAAGAUACAGUGGAGGUGGUACUGUUAUUGUUGAUGAUGGAACAAGUUUGUCAACUUUAUCUGCAAUAAAAAUGCUAUUCCGGGGCUGCAACCAUAUCCUCGCCCUAUAUAUCAUGGACCGGCCAAUUGUAUGGCGAGGUGCUUCAUGGAUUUGGUGACUUCCAUCUCUGUGAAAAUGGUAUGCAGGAUGAAUUUAAGCUACUUCAUUACACGCUCAGCAUUAUUUGGUAUUUAAAUUGUCUUUACAUGUAUGAUUUCCUUAUUUCUUCGCUUGUAAAUUUCAACAUCUGCUUGUCGCUCACCUGCCAUUUUUUAUAAAUGGAAUACUGGUUCAUGAUACUUUUGUAAACUAAACUUAUCAUCAUAGGAUAUAUUGUGAUACCUCUAACAAAAAGAUGCUGAGAUGCCAACUGAUUCUGAGUAAAUUGGUCUCUUUCAGAUGUUUGUGGAUUCUAUUUCAACCUUAAUUGAGCAGAUGUAGUUGUUUUUCUUUUUGUCAAAGCUAAACCAUACUUAAACUUUGAUAUGUAGUUCUUGGUGACAUUCCAAAAAGAUCAUGGGAAUAUCCCUCUGGCACUUACAAUUAUAUUUAUGGAGGUUCAUUUUGCAUUUCAAAUAACUUGAGAUGACUUGUUUAUCACACUCACAAUUAUCUGAAAAGUCAUGAAAUUAAGACUCGUAUCAAUUAUCUUGUUUAUGAGAACGAAGCAUCUCGUAUUGUCAGAUUGUGUUGUCAUUUAUCUAUUAUCAUAUCUCUUAAAAUGAUAUUCCUUUAUCCUUAUUUUCAGAUUAUGCAUUUAAUAACCACAAGUUUGGUGGAAAUGGUCAGUCCAUAAUUAAAGAGUGAUGGAUCCAUCACACCAUUUCUAUGGGAUUAUGAUAUAUAGAAUAUGGAAUACUUGAAGCUUGCCUCCUGUGCUCUGAAAUAUCGAUCGGUAUAGCUCUAUAUCAGUCUAUUUCUAUUGGAAAUGUGAACAUUCUUAUAAUUGAUGCUGAAAUUUUCCUUUAUAACUGCCUUAUAUUGAUCAUUAUUUCAAUAACUUGUUAAAAAAAAUGAUCUUUGUGUUACUUAAGGGGUAUUAUAUUGUCAUUUUGGAAAAGAAAAGUUCUAUUUGUUCCCUCAAAAAAAAAAAAAAGGUGACUUGUCAGUUUCCUGAUAAACUGCAUGUACAAGUUUGAUGGUGAGAUGAUUUCGAUACGAGUGUUGAGUUGACUAGCUAAGUGAUUGUAACACUUGAGUCCUCUGUUCAUCCAACUUACACAGGGUGUGAACUAUAGUUGUCAUCCCUCAAGGUUAUGCCACUUGGUAAAAGUAUCAAAUCUUUGUUCAGUUAUAGAUCAUCACAUGAAUGGCAUUAUUCUUUAUGCUGCAAAACCCACCAAAACUCUGGUGGUUAUUGCACUUUGUAUGCAUGUUUGUAUGUCGAUUCCUAUUAGAUUUUUGCUAUCAUCUUCUGUCAGUUUUUUCCUCAACUUUUUUUGUUGUUGAAGCUCUGCUCCAUGUAUCAAAUGUAAAUUAUUUUCUAGUCCAAUAACAAUUUUUACAUUCAAAUUUAAGAUAGAUGAUCUGGUUAUCUGAAUGCUAGUAAUCUGAAUUCUCAAUGCUUCCUAUAUCAGACACGAUCUCAUGUUAAAUUCUUGUGCCGAAUGAAAGAACAUGCCCCAUCUAGAUCAACUUUUAUAGAAAGAACCAUCAAAUCUCUUGGAAGCUAUUUCUUAAUUAGACCAUUUCAGCUGGAUGAAAUCGCAGGUCGUCCCAGCACUGUCUUUGAUCAGGAGCUGAAGGAUGCACGUUCAUCACAGUGCGAGGACUCAAGAUUGCUGGCUUUGAUCAGGAUCACAUCCUGAUAACUCAGUAAUGGCUCUCAGAUUCUCUAGUGUUCUGUUUUAUUUCAUGUCACAGCAAUGGAGGCCUGAUGGCAUGUAUCUCUCAAAACAUUUGAGGCACUGUCGAUGAAAGUUAAUAUGAUAUGUCGUAAUAAAUUGAUUUGGUGAUUAUAAUCUUUUAUGUGCCAUGUCAAAUUUCAUUAUAUAUCUGUCUGCCAGUUUGAUUUCGAUCAUACGAGUCUCUUCAUGUGAUCAUGAUUUUAUUGGUGUUGAUGUUAUAACAGAUUGUUUUAUGUACUGAACGAUCGUUGGACAUAUGUAAACCCUGCAGGCAUCAGCACAAAACAGGUUUGUAUGUAAACCCUGCAGACAUCAGUAACUAUUUUGCUCUCCUGUAGAAGAUAACAUCAUCACAGGAAGCAAACCCUCCCAAGGAGGAACAUAUCUGAAGCCUGAUUCAGGUUAUGAGCACUUGUAGAAAAAAAUGUAUCAUACUUAAAUCCAGAUAACUAAGUUUCUAAGAAUAUUAUAUUAGGUGCAAGUGGCAUACAUACCAAGAUACAAGCAAGGGUAACAAACUUGCUUCAGAUACAAGACUGGGAAUGCCCGAGGAAACCUACCCAUGAGUUAUGAUUUGAAGCCAAUACACUUCCAGAAUGACAUGUUAAAGUUUUAGGGCAUCACCAACACUGAAAAACCUGAAAAUGGAAGCACAUUCCCAUGCCCUAAUUUAAAGCUUUUACAAAAAAAUCACCCGGCGCACUCAAACUUCACAAUAACUGCGAAACCAUGACACAAAAGAAGCGACCACAACUGCCAGUCAGACAAACCGGUUCACAUUUUGUUCAUGGAUUGACUACUUGGGGAAGCAUGGCUUUUAUGUUCCUACUUGUGACACGGCUGCACCAUCUUGUUAGACAUGGCUAGAUGUCUGAUGACGAGGAGCACCAAGAUGUUCCUUGACCCACUCGUAUUCCUCCUUGAAAACCAUUGGAUGGACAGAGCCCACUUUUCUUCAAAUUCUCUGCUCGUUCCUUGGCCGAAUUUCCCUUCAAUGACAGCUGCCUCUUGAGACGGUUCCGACUCGACAAAAUCAUCUUACUCUGGUUUGGCGUGUGUAAAGCCCCUUCUACACAAUCUCCCACCUGUGUGCAGCUCCACAUACUCGAAGGCCCUUCUCCCCUUGGUGAUCUUAACCUUGGAAUUCUAUUUCUCGCCAGGCAAACCGCCCACUGGUCUGGAACAUUCUUGUCUGGCUUCGUGCAAAGCGGGCAAGGCGGAUCAUGUUUGUACGUCUUAGGUGUGACCCGCUCUAAGCAUUCAGCAUGAUACACAUGCCCACAUGACAGGACACUAACUACUGGCAUAUCUCCGCUACGAACAAUCCGGCGAGAACCCCAUGGUGAUCUUUGAGACAAUAACCUCUCACAAAGUCCACAUUUGGAAACCUCAGGCACAGCAUUAUAUGGAUAACCCACCUCAGGUUCCAAUUGUUCAGAGAUGCCUGUGAAGUCAACACUGCCAGUGCUACUCCAACGCACUGAUUCCCUUGGAAGGUUGGCACCAAUCUCUGAGAACCAAAGAGAAUGAAGCUCUGGCAGCGGUCUGGUGGACCUAUGAUCAGAAUGUAGACUGCUGCUGGAGAUUGUAGAACCAACAGUAUGAUUUUGUUCUUCAAUUCCAGUAAUGUGGUCAGGGAAUGAUACAGGAUGAAUGGGCUUUGACAUGAAAAACCGAUGAUUGGAGAAGCUGCGGCGGGCAGAACUGUGGGAUUUUGAUAUAGGAUCAUAUUCACUGCCAUCUGAACGGGAAGAAAUGGAACCAUUAAAAGAUGAGAAUCCUAGAGUUCCCUGCAGGACCAGAGCACAAAUUAGUCCAUAUUGUAGAAACUCAGCAUAAUACAGGAUAUAUUAUUUGUGCUCAUCGCAUUGCAGUUGAAAUACCUCCACCAAUGAUGAGAUCAGAGGUCCAGACGCUGGAUCUGGUAAUCAGUGAAACAGCUUUCAGUUGAAGAUAUAUCAUUAACAGAAUUUCAAGAUACAUAUACAGAUUACAGAUAUGUAGUAUGCAUAUGCUUUUGGCAGUCAAAACAUGUCCAGAUCAAAUUGUAUGAUAUACUACGGACAAAAUUGUCAAUGGAAUAACAGGAAGCAUAAUAUCCAACCAAGAUAAAGCACAUGAAACAGUCAACUGAUAAAUCACAGGGAAAUGAAUCUAAUUAGGGAUUAGAAUGAGCCAAUAAUAGGUCAAGCUUGAGCCUCAUGGGUUCCAAUUCUUGUUUUAUGCUUUUCAAGUACAUCCAUAAAUUUUCAUCAUGUUCUCUAGCUGUUUAAAGGAAUUAUACAAAAUGUAUUUUAGGCAAUAUCAAACCAAGAUAGCAAAAUAGUCCCCAUGUUCUUGUUAAGAUUAGUUUUAUAAUACUAAAGGAUCCAGGUGCCCUAACAUAAAGGGAAACAUGGAAGAGGUGCACUAGCAGCUGUCUUUUAAAAUACUCCCAGAGUUUCCAAGUUUUCUCCGAGACUUCAUUUGAUAUCAAAUCUGAAGAAACCUAAUAGCAAGGUUCAAAAUAUUGGAGUCAGUCCAAAAUUGAUAUUGGACUCUGGGAUCAAGAAAAGACUGUUGAGUCAAAAUUGAUUAAAAUCAGAUUUAGUCCAGUCAGGCUGACAGGUAACAAUCAGUAUAUGCUGGCUCAGCUAGGAGAAAAAGGAAUCAUCAUUUUCUGCUGAAAUUGGCUACAUAUACCGAGAAACUGUUAGCUCAAGGAUGGCAGGAAUCACCUUAAGAAUGGCUAGGAUCAAUCAAUAACAAAAAAGUUGAAUAAAAUUGGCUGGAAAUGGCUAGGACCACAGUGGACUGAAAAUAUCUCAUCCCAAAACAUCUUGAAUUUUAUGGCGAUCAAAUCAGAUCAAGUCCAAUACAAAUUGGUCAAUUUUUAAAACUCCACUAAUCCCACUUGCAACCUCCGGUUCCACCCCAGAGAUGAAUUAAUUUUAAGCAGAUGUCCCUGGUUCAUCACAGUCAAUGUUACUAUUAAUUUAGAAUUGCUAUGUUUUAUAAUGAUACUAAUUAGAACCACCAGCUCACUGCAAUCUAUUGUAGCACAAGGACAAAACUUAUAGUAGCAGAACAUGUACCAUGCUACCAACCAACAAACAGAGCAGUGGGAUUAAUCUAGAAGUUCAAUCCUAUCCUUCCACUAUGGAGGGCAUGAUCAAAGUUGCUAUUAGUUUUUUAGACAACUGCUUGCCGAGGAGAAGAGAUAGUGGUCAAUAAUGGCAAGCCUCAGUGUUGUGACUUGGUGAUUAUGUAUCAAGUCAUGCAAACUUCUUUGCUCGAGAGUAAGGCUGAAAAUGUUGACACUCGUUAAAUCUUGUGUUGCCACAAGUCUUAUACAUUUGAGUCACCCCUUUUAGAAAAACAACAACAACAAAGCUGAAAACCCCAACUACUUGGGGUCAGCUACAUUGAUCUUUUGCUGCCAUUGAGAUCUGGAAAGAGUCAUAUAUCUAGUUAAGUUUAAAGCAAUUCUAGUUAAGUUUAAAGCAAUUGAAUCUUUAUUUAUAGUUUCUAUUAAAGUCUUUUUAGGUCUUCCUCCAUCUCUCCUCAUACCACUAACGUUAAUCAUUUCAGUUCUUCUACAUCCGUGGGUUUCCUAACCAUAUGCUUAUACCAUCUUAAAUGGUUUUCUCUCAUCAUAAAGCAUUGUUACUCUCACAACUAUCAUAUACUUUUUUUUUAUUCUCAAAUAUAUCCAAUGAUCACACAAGACUCUUGAUUCCUCUCAUCAUUUUAACCAUCCUAUUUUUACUCAAUGAAUAUGUUUUCUUAUCGAUCUAUCCAUCUUGUUGACUAAUUGAUCCAAGAUACCUAAAUUUUUUAUUUAAAAGAACUUUCAGUCCAUCCAACUUAAUUAUAUUUUCUUGUAUAUUCCUAGAAUUACUAAAAUUGCAUCUCAUAUAUUCAGUUUUAGUCCUACUUAAUCUAAAACCUUUAUUUUCUAAGGAUUGAGUAGGAACAUUGAGUGAGGAAAAUAAAGUGGAAGAAGAUUUGGAUAGAUAUCUAUAUAUGGUAUUGCUUUAUCAUUCUUCAACCUCUUAUGUUCCAUCAAUCUGUCUCAUCUUGACGUGCAUGACCCAUCUGGGGGGUUCGUAUAAUGUUCUGAAGAACAGACUAACCAUUAAUCCAAAAUAAAAGGAAGGUAAGGUUUACAGGUUCAACCGAGUCAAACAGGAGGUCACACUGUGUUCGCAGAUGGAAUGCACUUGAAGUAUGCAAGACAGAAAUAAACCUAUCAUGGAAAGGCAUAUAGGAGAUGUCCCUCUCAGAGUCAGCUUAUCAGACAAAGUUGUCGCUCCUUACCUACAAUCCCUUGUAGGCAUUCACCUCACGAUAAACUAUAUUUCAGUUAACCAAUAAAUUAGUUAUGUAGCAUUAAAGAUGUAACAUUAUAGGUAUUGGCGCAAUGACAAUGACUAGAAUACUAUUCUUUUUUGAAAUGUCAAAAAAGUUUGUUUAGUGCAAAUGAUGGUGCAUUCCAAGACAGAAUCUGGAAGCAGAAUGAGUAGUAACUUACACAGAGAAGAUUAGACACACAUAAUGAAUUCCUUAUUAUUUUCAGAUUUCUUCUCUGCAAUAUAUAUCAUAAACGUACCUAUGUCAAUUUGCCACAAUCUCUCCGAUAGCUUUCAGAAUGGUACAAGCAUGCUAUGCUUGAAACACUAAAAAUUUUUCAAGAUAAAUUCACUAAUAGAGAUGCUAAAUCAAUAUAUCAGCUAGCGUCCUUAUGAAACUUGAUGAUAUGCAAAUAAUUGUAUGGUCUAAUCUGCAAUGAACUACAAUACAUUACAAUUUUGCGUUACUUCAAGCAUACAAGAUUUACAGUGGCAAGAUAACAAAUACCAAAGCACUUUAUCCUCAUAACAAAAUACACAAAAUAAAAGCAAUAAUACUCCAAAUUGAAGAGUACCUCCAACAAACUCUUCAACAUUAGCCCCUUGUGUGGGUGCUGGUGUCAAUUGAUGAUUUUGGAAGCUAUCAGAAGGGCUACUGAUAUACGAAAUUGCACCAUCAGAGGCAGAAAAUUGAUGAUUGCCAGGAGAAUCACCCCUCCCCCAGCUCCUGCUACUUUUACUAUUUGAUGAACGAGAUGAUACAUAACGUCCAACUCCACCAUCUCCUUGAGAGCCAAACGAGAGCCCUUCAGAAUGGAAACGAUAAUCCCACCUCGUCGACAAGGGUGGCGAGAUGCUCGAGUUUGUCAGCCAAAAUGGUUCAUUGCGACCCACAGACCAUUCCCUACUGGUGGUGCUAGACCCAUGUGGCCUUGCGGCCACACAGCAAAGCGACCCUAUCUUAGCUAUUAACUUUAAGAUCCCACGAGAAUCAAAAUUCUCUUCUUUUAAUCACUCUAUCACAAACACAAUCAGAAGCACAUCACAUAAAAAUAACCCCUCUCGACUGUACUACACAGAAAUGUAGCAAUCAAAACCACAAAUGACUUGCAGCUUUACCUCCAAUCCUGAAGAAGCAAGUAAAACUGCAUCUUAGCAACCAAAGGAAAGAAGAACACACCUACUAAAGCUCUGUGCAUGUUCCAGAUACUAAACUCUACUCUACUUUACAGAAAUGCAGAACUCAAAACCCUCAAUGAUUUGCAGCUCUAAAUCCAACCCUAAAGAAGCAAGUAAAACUGCAACUUAGCAACCAAGUAAGAAGACUGCCGCGUGCAUGUUUCAGAUACUAAAAUCAAGAAAGGUACACAAAAAGAAAAGCCGAAUCACCCAUAACCCCCAACAAGAUUCAAUCUUUAACCUAAAGAGGCGCUCGAAAUGAUCAGCAGCAAUUGUCGGUGCAGAAAAUAAACCUAAACAGAUGCAAACGGAAACAUCAACAUAAACCCCUCAGACCUACCUUGAAUCUCCACGAUUUCCAGGUUGGAUGAAGAAAUCCAACAUCGACUAAUCCAUAAAAGUCAAAAAACCUUAACAAAUCGAUUUCUUUUCCGUACCAAAGGGAACAACUUACAGGGUUAUCGGAGGACAAAACGGAGCGACAAGAGAGUGCGCGCCAUGGAAACCACAAAAGCAGGGCCGAACAGGAGGCGGAGUCGAAGGGAAACCCAAAAAAACCCUAAUCUUUUAGUAGACGCGAAGCGAAAUAAGAAAGUGGGUUUCAAAGUGGGAGGAACAGAAGAAGAAAAAGGCUAUAAAAAAGACAGUUUUGGAGUGGGAGAGAGUAACAUAAUGAGUAGUAUUCCACUAAUACCCCCUUUUUAUAUUGACUUCAAUAAAAGAGGCUUUACAUAUAUCUAUCAUUGCAAGUCUCCCAAUAUUAUAUUUAUCAUUAUAUGAUUUUUAAUAUAACAUAUAAGCUUAUGUCACUAAUAUCCAUCUAAAAUACUCGAUUUUCUUACUUAAAGUUUGAACAAUAAUAGUUUUAUUUAAUAAAUAUUUUGAUAAUUUAGAUUUUAUAAAAAAUAAUUUUAUUUUGAUUUAUAAAAAUACAUAAAUCAUACAAAAUACCUAAAUUUUCUUUUAAAAUUCUUAUCAUCAUGAUAAUUUUUUAAAGGAUUUGAAUUACCAUUAUUAUAUAUGUAAUCAAAUUUGUUACACUAAAAAUAUCAUAAAUCUAUUUAACAUUGAAUCGAUCGAACUUGUUCGAUUUAAAUCAUAAUUAUAUAUGAUAAUUUUUUUGUUUUUGUGCAUUUUGAAAAUAAGAAUUUUAUUUCUGGAGAAAACUCACACUUAUAUAUAAUGAAAUAUAUACAAAAAAUUAUUGACUUUUGGGAGAGAUAGAAUCAUGUUCUAAAUAUCCUUCUAAAACACUUAAUUUAAUCACUUUUUAACUAUAAAUAAUAAUUUUUUGAGCUACAAAACAUAUAAUAAGUUAUAUAUAUAUAUAUAUAACUUAUUCUAUUAUGCUAUUUCUUGAGCCCGCCCGCUUCGUCAUCGCCACGGCUCCGAAACGCUCCUGCCAGUCGCCGCCAAGACGAAGCGAAGGUCCCAGAGACGAGAGGCGGAUGGCGGCGAACCCGUCGACGUACUCUCCGUCUCAGAGCUCGGAGACCAGGCAGCAGAAGCGAAGACUGUUCCAGAAGACCGAUUGGACUCGGUGCAGGCCCGCUUGUUUGUAUCCUCUCUCUUUAUGUUACGCCCUCGAGUUGUUCGAUGUUUUGCCUACACGAAGAACAUUAGAGGAAUUGACAUUGUGCCGUGCAGCUCUCGGGACGGGCGCUGCCAAUUCUGCCUCAGGAUCUGCUUACCCGGCGUUCGGAGCGACCACGGUCAUCGUAUCCGUGUAAGCAAACUCCGCCAGUGCUCAAAACUUGUGCCUUCUGCGAAAUGCAUUCAUAGAAUUCUCAUUGUUCUGCUCAAAAUUGCGAAUGUCGUAUGGUAUAAGUAGGUAUUUUAUGAAGUGACAUAUCUACUCAAAAUGCCUGCUCGAUCCUUAAUCUAGCAUCUCCAUCAGUCUUGCUUCUCUCCUCUACAACUAGUAAAUUGAACUGAGUCAGUAUAUGCUUGUCAUCUUCAAAGUUACUGGUUCCUAGCCUUUCCUAUAUGUGUUCAGUGUCUUCCAUGUCAAUGUAACCUCAAGAAUUAGAUACAUAAGAAUCUACUUACUUUUUCUAGGUCAGAUUCGAUCUGUGAUGGAUUCCUAUUCGAUCUACUCGACGCAACAAUUUGGUAGGUAUCAUGUUGACUGUUUUGUGAUUUGUGCGCUAUGACAUGGGCAGAUUCUUCGACGAACCAUUGCUGACGCUGCAAAGGCCAGAGUUGUACUUCCACAACCCACUACGGACUUGUACCGAACAAGAUAACGACAAUUCCACCAAUAGAUCUCUCCACAUAUCCACCAUCGCUCAAAAAGCAGCAGCAGAGUGCAUGAGAUGGUGCGGCAGCAGCAAAAAGCUAAAGCUGAAGCAAAAGUGUGAGCUUUCUUUGGUCUUGCAAUCCAUAUAGAAGUCACCCACUACUCACAUCACAUGCUUCCAGUGUUCAUCUCCUCUGUGAACACAGUUAUCUUCUUGCCAUUUCGUCUGUCGUAGAGCUUAUUCCAAGAUUCUUCACAAAGGGAUCAUUGGCUACAGCUUGGUGUUGUAGAUUCUGAGUCCGAUGUCCGGAAUAGAGCAGUCGAUGACCGGCGUCCACAGGCCGUCCGUGUCGGCGACCACCGUGGUCAUGGUCGCGGGAGUCAUCGCCUCCACCGCGCUCUUCGUCCUCGUCUUCUUCCUGUACCUGCGUGCCAAGCGCUACUGGGGUGCCAUCCCGGUCAGCAUCCGCGGCCGCUUGGCCGAGCCAGCGGCUGCCCAGCAGCGAAGCGGCCUAGACGCCGCCGCCGCCGUGGGGGCUCUCCCUUCGGUAGUGGUCCGCGCCGGGGACUGCAAGGAGGGCCUGGAGUGCGCGGUCUGCCUCUGCGAACUGUCGCGGGGCGAGGCCGCGAGGCUGCUGCCUACGUGCGGCCACGCCUUCCACAUCGAGUGCAUCGACGCGUGGUUCUCCUCCCACUCCACCUGUCCUCUCUGCCGGAGCCCCGUGGUGCACGAGAAGCCCCAAGAGGCUGGUUCCGCCGCUGAAUCGGUUCCUGGCCGCUUCCACUCGGAGGAACCGCCGCCGGAGAUAGAGGAUCAAGCUGGCCGGAGCUCGAGCCCUUCCGAUCAUCCUUCAGGUAGUACGCCGGCUGUGUCGGUGUCUGAGACACCAAGAAUAGCAGUGGACGGAUUCCAAACCCUGAAUUCUUCGGCAGCAACGUUGAGGUCGUUGCGAAGGCUGCUGAUUUGCGGAAGCAGGACGGGCGGCGCUUCCUGCAGUAGUCGAGAAUGCGACGUCGAGCAGGGACGUCUUCCCGUUUGAUAAAAGGCUGCAUGAUGCAGAAAGCAUUGUUCUUCCACUGAAACAAACGAAGCUUUUCAUCAUCUACAUUUCCAUUACAUCUGUACAGUGUCUCGAGGCAUUUAGGAGUUGCAAGCAGAGGAUUAUAGCUUCUGCACUUUUGCUGCUUCUUUUGUAAAUCUAAGUCAAUCCAUGUCGGAACAUUUGAUACUGAGUUCUCUUUAUGGCACAAAGAUCACUCGUGCUUUUCUUUCUCCUCCUCUUAUGGGAUCGGUUUUUACUUGUUGUGGCGUUGAUGGAAAUGAUCGAUCAUCCACAGAUAUUACUGCUAAUUUCAUGAUUCAGCUAAUCUGUGAAGACAUCUAUGCAAAAUGGAGCUUCCAGAUUCUGAUCUAUGUUGAUAUGCCAACUGAGCAGACCACUGAACGAUCCCAUUGAUCUUAUCCAAAUUGCUUUUGAACCACAAAUUGAUAGUUCUGAGAGUGGUAGAUAUCUUGACCGACAUGUUCUAUAAUGGGUGGCUUCCAGCAUCCUAUUCUCUCAUCCUUUUUCUUUGAAGAGAGAAACAGGUCAAUUAUUUCUUCAUUCAGAUUCUAAUCAUAUGAUCACUCGAGUUUACACGCACACAUUCAUCAAUGAAUUCGGACUACAGGAUUCCUGAUGAAUAUAUCGAGUAGAUCAUGAUAAAUAAUAUCGAAACUAAUCUAAUAUUAGAUAUGACGAGUGACUCUGGUGGUAGACUAAGACUUAAAUUCUUCAAAUGGAAAAUUCAUAAUGCUAUUAUUUCAAUAUCAUAUUUGAAAUGUGAGAAGAUUUGAGUUAAUCUAUACAAACUGAAAAACAAUUAUACUAAAUUGAAUUUAAGUUUUUUUUUUAUUAUGCUUCAAUUCAACUAGAAAAAAAAAAAACAUCGUACUCUCGAUUUAGCCUCCGUCCAAAUCUAACUAUGAUUGAGUUAGAGGUAAUAUAAGUUUUCUCUAAGAUGUUACUGCAGCUAUCACAUUCCUCUCUCGGAAUCUGCCCAAAGUGAAUGCAGAGACAGGGAGGUCCACCUCUUUGUUCUCGAGCUGCGAGACGCCCAGUGAGACGACAAGCGGCAGAACAGUGGCGACGGGUUCUUGGCCGUGCGUCUCCGUAGCUGCGGCGACCACGCACUCCGGCAGUACAGCCGACCAUGUCGAGUGGAAGCGGACGUGGCCAGAGCAUAGAACGUGAAAGGAAGUUUUGGAGUUGCAGAGCAUGAGGCCAUAAAAGAUAAACGAGUCAGGGAACUGUCAAUUAGAAGAUACCAAAUAUCAUCUGUUCAUCCAUCAUUUAUUCUCCUCCAAUGGAACUGCCACUAUUUUCCAAUUUGUGAUCAAUCUCUUUUUUUUCCUUCUUCUUGUGCUAUUUCUUGCGUAACAAGUUACAUGGUGAUGUUCCAAUCACUCCAUAUUCGAGAUAAUUAAAGGGGUGACUCAUGUUCGUCAAGGAAUCGAUAUAUACGAAGUACGAGUAUCCGACAAGAUCCAUUCGACGUUCAAGUUAGUUAAUGCUGAAAUGAAAAGUGAAAUCACGAGUAAAUAAUAUCUAACUUUUAUAAUAAUAAUAAAAUAAUAAUUUUUAUAGAUGAAAAAAUAUAUUUUUUUUUGUAAAAUGAGCAUAAUAUUUUUUUUUCCAUGGUCCAUUGUCAUAAUUAUGUUAGGGUGGCUAUCAUGCUGACUAUAUAUUUAAAUUAUACUGAUCCCACCACUUGUGACAUGAGGGGGACUACCCAACAAAUGCAGUGUUGCUGAAAAGCCUUCUCUCACAAAAAUUGAUGCAGAUGACAAGGUAGAAGAUUUUUGGUUGGGUGUACAAAGUUUCAAGAGCUUCAAUUGCUUGAUUCAGCAGUAGAAACAACCUAUGCAGCUUUGCAUGCUACUCCACAGAAAGAGCACUACCUAACAUGUGAUGUUCCAAUAUCUUCAUCUCCACCAGCCAAAGAUAAAUGCUUCAGAAGUGUGACCUGUAGUCCAUGACAACUUGUUCUUUCCCUCUGGAGAAUUGUGCAGUCGGUAAAGGUCAGAGGACUCCAAAAGUUUGUCUCAUGAAGGUUCACCAAUUGUUUGUCCUCUCUAAUGUUCAACAACACACGAUUAGUUCCAGCAAAGUGACAUCUGCCCACCACCGGCAGAAACCAAACAUGGAGAAGAAGAAGAAGAAGAAGAAGAUAGGUUUAGCAGUAAGUAAGCAAAUAAGUCAGUGCUGUCAGAAAUCCUAUGGUAGGGGAUAGGAUAAAUGAUGGCUUAAUAAUAUAUCCACCAGAUCUGUACAUCUGUUUAAUGAGCAGAUGUAUCAAACCCACACUAUUUAUUGGCAAAUCAUGGAUCUUGUAAGUCAGAUUUUGAUCAUUAUUUCCGCAUCAGAUCUCAUAUAAUCCACUAGCUUGGAUGGUUAAGACAUUCAAAUCCUCUUAAUGAUCGACCCGAUGUCGCAUCUGAUAGACAGGAUUAUUCAGCAUAGAGCUUUAAACUUCAGCCAUGGAAGUGGAUCGACCUUUCAAUUCAGCUUUUUCUUGCUCCAAACAUCUCCUGGCCUACUUGAUGCAACUGCAAAGGUGUGGCCAACUUCUGAUAGUGAUCUCUAGAGUUGCUCUUGGACUGUUUCUUAGCUUCUUCAAUUAUGCAUUCGGUUCUGGCCGUCCAAUUCUCUCUCACACACAGCACUGCCUACUCAUCUUGAUUCUAUGUUACCUCUGAUGGGUCCAACCAUUUUGAUCAUGAACAACCAAGACAACACUUGCAAACACACGAGAAUUGAGGUGGAUCCAUCCUAACUCUCUUUUUGCUGCAUAGGUUAGCUUGUCUGCAUCAGCUUUUCAUAUCAAUGGUUAAUGUGCACCCGUGCAUGCACAAACAACAGCCUGUUCAUGGUGACAUGUGUGUUUACUGUGACAACGGACUUCCGAGAUGAUCAACCUGCAGGUAAAUGGCUUUGUCAGAUCCGAUCUGCUCUCUCUGAUGAUAAAUGUGAUGACCAGAAACCAUACCUCACUCGAAGACCUGAAGUCGGAUUUCAUAUGAGACAUCGUUCAUGUGGUCUUGCUGUAAGGGCUCUAAAUUCUUGAAUGCUGCCAUUUUGCUCUUGCUGUGGUUGAUCCUCGCAAAUCUGCUGCUUGCUGAAACAAGGACAUUGUACCCCACAAAAUGCUUUUCGAUACGUUUGCGAUCGAAAGGGAGCUAAUUUUAUUGCAGCAUAAUAUGGCAUUUCAGCCUUACACAGACAGUCUGUAAACAUCAAAGACGAUUUAUUUUUCUCUUUUUAGUUU